rnacentral:lncRNA from 1 species
GAAACCUACUUAUUCUCCGAAAAAGCAUUUUUCAAAAAGACAUUUUAGAGGCAUUGUUAUCAUUUGGUAGAUCCAGGUUCAUGGCCUAUUUCUAUGGAACACAUUCUCCAUAGUACCGAACACAGUCUCAGAACUUUGUUUGUUGAUAUCCACUGUUAUGGACCUCACUUGUGGAAUUUCAUUGGAUGUGUUGUUGAUGUUUGAGUUGAUAUGCCGUGCUGAAAAUCUUUGUGGGUAGGAGGGAGUAUAAGAAUGAUCCACAACUCCCGGCAACGAUGUAAUAAGAAAUUUGUUUGUUAUGUAUAAAAGAAUUAUCCCGAACCUGGCCUUUUUUCAUAAAAUUCAGAACCUAUAAUUUUUUAAUCUUCCCGGGGUCCCCUUUUUCUAUAGAUUGAAUUAUCAUAAUAUUUUAUGACAAAAUAUUGUAAAGGUGUAUGAAAUGGUAUAUUGCUCAAAAUCAUGGUAAUACCAUUUAUUUAUAACUUUAAAAUUUUGAAUUGUACUAAUUGAAUAUAUUAAUUUCACAAUGUACUUUUAUUUAGUUCAAAGUUUUCCUCGUUGUACUUUAAGCUUUGGAGUGUAAUGUUUUUCCGCAUUUUAUGAGGUGCUAAGAUUAGAAAAAGGCAUAAUACAUGAAUAGACGAUAUUCAAAUUUGGUCUUAAUUAAAUUCUCCAAUUUAUAAAUUGAUCACUUAGACUCUUCCAAUAAUUAUUUAUUACAUCAAUGUAGGGUGUUCACGAAAUACGAGAUACAGUGAAGCCAAAUUAAAAUAUUUAGAUGUACACUUCCACAAGAAGGUUAACCAAAAUGAAAGGGAAGUUUCCCAACAUAUUUUUUCUUAGAUAUGUCUCAUUCACUUUUACCUUUACUUUUACUUUUACGGUUACUCUUUUUUUUGUGUGUUAUAUUUGAAUUUGACAUACCACUAAAAAUAUUAUUGGGACUUCUUUUAUAUUUGUCCUUUCUUAUUGAGUAUGCUAAAGUAUACACUUAAAUUUGUAUAAAAUUAAAUAAAUAGACAUGGCGUCUUACAUGAAAAUUUGUGUCCUAUAUGUAUUACGUCACAUAAAAUGAGUAUGUCUACUUGUUCAAUUUUAUACAAGUUUAAGUGUUUAUUUGUACACAUCUAAAGUUGGAGGACAUAGAUGUCAGCAAAAACCAAGUUAAAUGACAUAUAUUUUUUUUUAUAUCUUUAGAAAUAUUCAAAAGAAUAAUAGUGAAAAGUAAAUUUUGAUUUUUGUCUUUAAAUUUAAGCGGUACAAACUUCUUUUCUUAUACAACUAGGAUAACAGUUCUCUCUUGAUAUGUCACCUCUUUCACAUUAAUUGUCGUCCUAACUCUUUGUUUAAACUUCUUUGUUGGCAUCUCAAAGUCAAUCAUUCUUUGAAUCUCUUUCACAUUUUUAAGUGAAUUGAAAUAAAUGGACAAAAUUCAUUUAGGAGUCAUUUGCAAAUCAGAUUGUAGUUGGAUGAGAAUGUUGAAUAUUACAGAUUGAUAGUAGUGUCUAAGGUGACUGUUAUAUACAAAUACUUUAAGAACAAACUUUUUUCUUACAUAACGAACGCAAGAAAAUAAGUAAGAAAUCUACUUAUUCUCCGGAAAAACAUUUUCCAAAAAGACAUUUUAGAGGCAUUGUUAUCAUUUGGUAGAUCCAGGUCCAUUGCCGAUUUCUAUGGAACACAUUCUCCAUGGUUCCGAACACACUCUCAGAACUUUGCUCGUUGAUAUCCACUGUUACGGACCUCACUUGUGGAAUUUCAUUGGAUGUGUUGUUGUUGUUUGAGUUGAUAUGCCAUGCUGAAAGUCUUUGUUGUUGUUUGAGUUGAUAUGCCAUGCUGAACGCUUUAUAUGGGCAACAGUAACAGCGAAGUGUUCAAGCUCAUGUGCAUCGCAAAGGCGGCAAACAAACCAGAGAACCAUUCCUAAGAACUUGUUAUUAUGUACUGUGGGCAUAGUCAAACAAAUAAGAUAAAAGAAUUUACUGACUUUAUUUCCUUGUAGAACAUCUCGGACUUAUUGAGGUUUGAACAAUCUACUCAAUUUUCUAGAGUCUCGAGGUGAUUCCAUACGAACAAUUUCUCUUCCCAUAUCUCGCACUAGAUCAUGCAUCACCAAAUAACGCCAAUCCCUUUGGAGAAAGUUCCUUUGGACUAAGGUUGAAAUUGCACUUUCAGAAUAAAAACCACACGCGUUUAAUGUUUUGAUAACUUCAUCCUCAAAAAAUUCAUGGAAGGCACACGCAAUAUCAAGGAAAACACUUUGAGUAUCACAAUCAAGUCCGUCAAAGCUUAUCUUGAGGAUCUUUUGAAUAUCACAAUGAGGAAUUGCUCUUAGUUUUUUGAACUCGUAUCUCCAUUCUUUAACGGAUCUCCCUCACAAUCAAGUCCGUCAAAGCUUAUCUUGAGGAUCUUUUGAAUAUCACAAUGAGGAAUUGCUCUUAGUUUUUUGAACUCGUAUCUCCAUUCUUCUACGGAUCUCCCUUGUAAAUGUGACCCCAAUGUCACAAGAGCUAACGGUAGCCCACCUGAAUAUUUGAUUAUGCUUUGUGCAACCUCAACAUAUUCUUGUGGCGGAGAAGGACUACUAAAAGCAUGACAAGAAAAAAGUUGUUGAGCUUCAUCUUGAUUUAAAUGUUUUGCCUUGUAUCUCUCGUUUUCUCUAAUCCGAGAUAGCAAAUGCUUGUCUCGGGUUGUAAUAAUUAUUAAACUACCAGAACCAAACCAACUUCUUUCUCUUGUUAAGGAUUCUAAUUGGCUCAUAUAAUCCACGUCAUCAAGAAUAAUUAGAACCUUCUUUGACCCAAGUCUUGCUUUGAUUAGAUUGAUGCCUUCAGCAACACUGGUAACUUUGACGUCCUUAGUUUUGAGAAUUUGAUUUAGUAGUUUUUCUUGUAACUUGACUAAACCAAAUGCUUCAGCUUCUGAUCUAACAUCUGAAAGGAAGCAACUAAUAUCAAAGUGUCGAAAUAUUUGAUUGUAGAUAGCUUUAGCCAGAGUUGUUUUUCCUAUUCCACCUACGCCAUAUAUACCAACCAUGCGAACUUCAUCUACACAUCCUUUUUGGAGUAACAACUCUAUAUCUUCGACACGAGAAUCUACUCCAACAGGAUGCCAAGCAAUAUCUAGAGGUGUCUGGUUUACCUCUAGUAGAACUUGUUUUACAAUACUUUCAAUAAAUUUUGAUUCAUGUCUGCAUAUUAGCAAAAACAAAAGUUAGAAUAAAAAAAACAACUUUGAUGUGUGGAAAAAAAAUAAUUGAUAACCAACUUAUGACUUUUGACUGAUAAGUCAGUUUGACCAGUUUAUAAAUAUUACCCGUCAACAACAUUUCGCAAAUCCCAUCCAGAUAAAUUUGCGCUAAUUCAGUAAGUGAAUCCGUCCAUUUUUUCAUUCUCUCAACCUCGAAUGAUCGCUCCUUAAGCAUAGCUAAAACUUCACCAAAGUAUCCGGUUUGCUUGCGUACAUGAGAAGGAUGAACAUCAUAGAAAAUAGGCAAAACUAUUUUCUUUAACUUGUCUUUGCAUUCGAGAAUUUUAACAAGUUCAUCAAGACACCAACUAGACGAAGCAUAAUUUUUCGAGAAAACAACAAUGGAAACUCUAGACUCUUCAAUUGCUUUCUCAAGUUCUUUUGAAAUCACCUUGCCUUUUCUUAAUUCCUCAUCAUCUAUGAAGGUAUUAAUUCCAACUUGACAUAAUCUGGAAUAAAGAUGACCUGUGAAGGUUUUUCGAGUAUCUUCACCUCUGAAACUCAGAAACACGUCAUAAGAGAAGUUGGAAGAAGUAGUUGAUGAUUCCCCUACAACAAAUUGAGUAUUCAUAUUUGAUGACUAAUAUAUGGAAGAAUGAGUAGCUAUCUAUAUAAUAUACCAUGCACAUGCUAUGGUUUUUUCUUGGUAACUUAACUAAUGCUAUAUAUUCUUUAAUUUAUUUUGUACAAUUAUUCUUCAUUAAAUUUUGUUAAUUGGGACUUUUUUUUUAAUGAUUCUUUACCUUUUGUCUCAUCUUUAAUUUGUUAAAGACUUGAAUGAUAAAAAGUAAGAUUCUUUCUUCCUUGAAAACUCAAAAGUUCAUCUCUCCACAUAAUUAUGAUGAUGUUAAGCUUGAUGUCAUAAUCUUUUAAUAAUGGAAUUGAAAACAUCGAUUUGUUCUCAAUUCACAAGUUGGAUUAAACUUUUUUUUCUUUUUUACCUAAUCAAGUAGUAUCGCAUAAAUUAUAACGAUAAUUUUUUAAAAGAAAUUAAAACACUUUGUAUUAAUAGUAAAAACUAGGAAACUUUGUCGUAAUAAAACUAACUACUAGUCUAUUGCAACUAUUAAACAAGUAAACAACUAAUAAAACUAAUUGGAUCACUCUUACUGAACCAUUGGUCUUAAUCCUAUACCUAUCAUACUGAUAUAGAGGUGAAUUCAGAACUUAAAAUUUAUGAAUUCUUAUAAAAAAUAAAUAAAUUUAUGAAUGAUAAUAAUUGAGUUCAUAAUCAAAUUAUAUUAAUUACUUAAUGAUUUUCUUAGUACAUAUAAAUAAUAUGAAUAAAAUCUAUUGAGUUCACACUAACCUCUCUAUAAUAAUCAAAUCAGUAAUUUUGAUCCAAAUUGAACUUUGUAUUUAUGAUAAUAAAUUUGUUUGUUAUGUGUAAAAAUAAUAUCCGGAACCCGAUCCGACCAGUAAAUGCUUUUUAUAAAAUUGAGAACCUAUAAAUAUAAAAUCGAAAUGCCAGUAGCAGUCAUAGUAUUUGGAACAAAGAAAAGCAAGGGAAUAACAAACCAUAUCUUCUGCUCCAACUUCACUUUCUUUAUAGUAUUUUUGAAAGGAAAAAAGGGAAUAGAAUUAAAUAUUAUCAGAAUGCCAACCAAAUAUUGAUUUUGUGCUCUAUCCUUACUGUGGGAAAAAAAAGAAAAUGUAAUUUAUUUGUGCAGUUUUUUAAUCUUCCAGGCGUCCCAUUUUUCUAUGGAUUGAAUUAUCAUAAUAUUUUAUGACAAAAUACUGUAAAAUGGUGUAUGACUGUAUGGGAAAUAUAAUAUUUGUAUAUUCCUCAAAAUCAUGAUAAUACCAUUUGUUUCUAACUUUUUAAUUGUACUAAUUGAAUAGAUUAAUUGUACAAUAUACUUUUGUUUAGUUCAAAGUUUUCCUCUUUGUACUUUAAGCUUGUGUGUCACGUCAGUAUAGGGUGUCCACGAGACACAUUAAGGGUGAGUUGGAGUGUUUAGCUGUUAGUUGAGAUGUCUAUAUGUACACUUUUAAUUAGUUACGCUUGCGAAAUUUUAAUUGGAUGACAAAACUAGGAUCGAAGUUUCGAGUGGUUAGCAUCUGACGGAUGAAAAAAAAAUCUAAAUGAAAAAUACUUUUUAGCGAAUCAGCUUGUAGUUGGAUGAGAAUUUUGAAUAUUACAGAUUGAUAGUAGUGUCUUAGGUGUUAUAUACAAAUACUUUAUGAACAAACGUUUUUCUUACAUAACGAUCACAAGAAAAUAAGUAAGAAACCUACUUAUUCUCCGGAGAAACAUUUUCCAAAAAGACAUUUUAGAGGCAUUGUUAUCAUUUGGUAGAUCCAGGUCCAUGGCCUACUUCUAUGGAACACAUUUUCCAUGGUACAUAACACAUUCUCAGAACUUUGCUCGUUGAUAUCCACUAAUACGGACCUCACUUGUGGGAUUUCACUGGAUGUGUUGUUGUUGUUUGAGUUGAUAUACCAUGCUGAAAGUCUUUGUGGGUAGGAGGGAGUAUAAGAAUGAUCCACAACUGCCGGGAAAGAAGUAACAUUACCAUGUUGAUCUACAUAUAAUAGACGUACUCCUAUCUUCUUUACAACGGCUCCGCCAGUGCGAUCCUCUACUGUUAUCUGUUCCCCGCCUUUGAUCUUCAGGCCAUUAAAAGGUCUAUUGUUUGAGUAAGAGAAGUAAUAUACACGUGAUAUUUCUCCCUGACUGUCAGGUAUAUUAAAAUGCGAACUCCACCAAAAAGUUGAAGACUCUACAUGGGCAACAGUAACAAUGAAGCUUUGAAGAUAGGAGGAUACAUUGCCAAAGUGGCAAACAAACCAGAGAACCAUUCCCAAGAACUUAUUAUUAUGUACUGUGGGCAUAGUCAAACAGAUAGAUGGAGCUGUUACUUUAUUGCUGCACCAAUCUGGAAUCUCAUUGCUUUCGAGAUUAAUUUGUAAUGACAUCUUCAUCAGACAAAUUAAGACACAAUUAGAUCAUUAAUUAUUAAUGUGAUACGAGGGAGAGAUCAGAGAGGGAGAGGGACUAACCUUAUACCGUUGAUGUUUUCUAGACGGAAUUGAUAGAGCAUGGGCACUAAAGAAGCCUUCAUUGAAUGGAUUCUGCAGACGAGUACAAUUAAUCAUGUCCACCUUCUCUAUUGAAGGGAGGUAGUCCGACCCUGUAAUCUUGACCAGUUUUUGGCAAUUCCUAAGUUCAACAAUUGCAAGGUGCUCUAAAUUUGAUAUUGACGGGAGUGUUUGAAGGUUCUCACAAUCAUUCAAAUAUAAGGACGUCAACAAUGGUAACUUGGAAAAAUCAAAGGGUAGAUAGAGGAAACUGUUGCCGCUCAAAUCUAAAAAAUAUAAGUUGGAUAAACUCCCAAUAUCCCUAGGAACAUCAGCCUCCGAGAAACCACAAUAUGAAAGGCGUAGAUUCAAAAUAAAUUUUGACAAGGACACUAUGGGGCGUACUCUUCUUUGAGAAAAACUCCUUUUGGCCUUUAAGUAUUGGCCUCCCAUUUCCAAUUCUACAAGAUUUCGUAGCAUUUCAACAGAUCCAGGCAAUUGUUUUAUACCUGUUUCACGUGCAUUAAGAUAUCUUAGGCUUUGCAUAGCUCCAAUGUUAACUGGCAGUGUUUGUAAAGACGAGCAGUCAUUAAUGUACAAGGUUUUAAGGGAUUUUAGCUGGCAUAUGCUGCUCGGAAGAUCCGUAAUAUUUUUUGCAACCAUUCAAUUGAAGAUCAGUUAGUCUGUCCAAAUUUCCUAUUGAUGGAUGGAUCUCCUUCAGACUUGAAGCAAUUCUCAAGCAACAAAGUCUCGAGACUUCGUGAACCGUUGAAGUUUGGAGUUUUUCUGAGGCGCUUGCAAUCAGAGAGAUCCAGCAUUUUCAAAUUUCUACAAUACUAAAAGUAAACAAAAUAUUGUUUCAAUUAAGAUUUUCUUUCCCUUAAACAUUACACAUAAAUUUGCAAAAUUGAGUAACGAACCUGCAAAUUCAAACCAAAUUCUAGGAUAUUGCUCCCUUUCAUAUUCAGAAAUACAAGUUUCUCAGAUGGAAAAUUUGAUGGUACACAUUUUAAAGGACAUCCUUUCCAAGACAGCCAUCUGAGCUCCUUGGACAAUAGCUCAAAAUCUCCACUAAUAUGUAAAGUCGUCGAUUUUUAAGCACCCUAAGAUUUAUCAUUUUCUGAAAUGCUUUUGGUGUUCAGCUUCACACCCUUUAAUGCCUGUCGUUCUACCACCAAUAUUUCUACAUUUUUAGAACCCUACAGUUUAGUAAAAAGAAAAGUACUAUAAGACCAUGUUAAGUAUGAUAAAUUAAGAAAGAGAAAUGCUUUAUACAAAUUGAAGGUCAAACAAAUAGAAUAAAUUAUGUACCAAUAAAAAAAAAAUUACACAUUAUAUCCAACUAAAGGAUGUUUAUUUGAUAAUUUUGUCUUUGAUAGUUUGUUUAGACUUCAGUAAAUGUUCAUUUCAAGUACAGAAUGGUUCAAACAUCUAAAGAUACUUACUAACGGGAGAAGAUUUAAGCACAAAUGCAUAAAUUAUAAGCAAAUGUAUAUCAAUAUGAAAAAAGAAGAAGAAGAAGUAUAACCAAGAUAAAGAUAAUGAAAUUUACUGACUUUAUUUCCUUGUAGGACAUCAAGGACUUCUUGAGGGUUGACCAAUCUACUCCGUUUUCCACUGUCUCGAGGUGAUUCCAUGCGAACGAUUUCUCUUCCCACAUCCUGCACUAGAUCAUGCAUCACCAAACGACGCCGAUCCCUUUGGAGCAGGUGUCUUUUGACUAGAGUUACAAUUGCACUUUCACAAUACAAACCACAGGCGUUUAAUGUUUUGGUAACUUCAUCCUCAUCACAUCCAUGGAAGGCGCACGCAAUAUCAAGGAAAACAUUCUGAGUAUUGUCAUCAAGUCCAUCAAAGCUUAUUUGGAGAAUCUUUUGAAUAUCAAAAUGAGGAAUUGUUCUUAGUUUUUCGAACUCGUAUCUCCAUUCUUCAACGGAUCUCCCUUGUAAAUGUGACCCCAAUGUCACAAGAGCUAAUGGUAGCCCACCUGAAUAUUUAAUUAUGUUUUGGGCCAGCUCAACAUAUUCAUGUGGUGGAGAAAGACUGUUAAAAGCAUGACAAGAAAAAAGUUGUUGUGCUUCGUUGCCAUUUAAAAGUUUGGCCCGGUAUAUCUCAUUUGUUGUAAGACCAUAAAGCAAAUGCUCGUCUCGGGUUGUAAUAAUUAUAACACUACCAGAACCAAACCAAUUUCUUUCUCUUGUUAAGGAUUCUAAUUGGCUUCUAUGAUCCACAUCAUCAAGAACAAUUAGAACCUUUUGGGACCCAAGUCUUGCUUUGAUGAGAUUAACACCUUCAGCAACACUAUCAACUUCAAAUUCCUUAGUUUUGAGGAUUUGAUGAAGUAGUUUCUCUUGAAGCUUGAUUAGACCCAAUUCUUCAGCUUUUGAUCUAACAUCUGAAAGGAAGCAACUACCACCAAACUGUAGAAAUAUUCUAUUGUAGAUGGCUUUUGCUAGAGUUGUUUUUCCAAUUCCACCAACGCCACAUAUACCAACCAUUCGAACUUCAUGCUCACAUCCACUUUGCAUUAACAACAAUAUAUCUUUGAUAGGAGAAUCUAAUCCAAUUGGAUAAUGAGCAACAUCUAGAGGUGUCUGGUUGACUUCUUGCAGAACUUGUUUUAUAAUACUUUCAAUAAAUUUUGAUUCAUGCCUACAGUUUUUUUAGCAAAAACAGUAAAAAACAAAACUUUGAUAUUUGAAAAUAUAUGAUGAACAAAACAAAAUCCAUAGCCAACAGAUAACAGGGAAAUCGAGGGUAGAGAAUGGAGAUUAUCAAUUACUAUUACUCCCUCGUUCCAAUUUAUGUGAUGCAGUCUGAUUUGGCACGGAGAUUAAGAAAUAUAAAAAGAAUUUGCAAUGUUCCAAAACUAACCAACUUAUAAGCUUAGGCAAAUGCUUAAAUUCAAAAUUCUAAAGUUGAAUUAAGAAGUGUUACCCAUCAGCAACAUUUCUCAAAUCCCAUCCAGAUAAAUUUGCUGCUUCAGUAAGUGCAGCUUUCCACUUUUCCAUUCUUUCAGUUCCAAUUGAUCGUUCCUUGUGUUUUGCCAAAGCUUCGCCAAAGGAUCCAGUUUGUCUUCGUACUUGAGAAGGAUCAACAUCAUAGAAAAUAGGCAAAACUAGCUGAUUUAACCUCUCUCUGCAAUCGAGAAUUUUGACAAGUUCAUCAAGACACCAACUAGAGGAAGCAUAAUUUUUGGAGAAAACAACAAUGGCAACCCUAGAUUGUUCAAUUGCUUUCUCAAGUUCAAUUGAAAUGACGUCUCCCUUUCUCAAUUCCUCAUCAUCUAUGAAAGUAUUAACUCCGACUUGACAUAAUCUGAAAUAAAGAUGACCGGUAAAGUUGUUUCUGGUAUCUUCACCUCUGAAACUGAGAAACACAUCAUAAGAGAAGUUGGAAGAAGAAGAUGAUUCUCCUUGAGUAUUCAUAUUUGAUGACAAUAAAUGGAAGAAUUAAGCGAUUUUUAGUUGAAUGAAAGAAAAGAUGAGUGAAGCAGUUACAGGUAAUUGUUUGUUCCUGGAAACUCAAUUUUGGGUCAACUCAUUUACAAUCCCUAAAGAAAGUUAAUCGAAACGAAAGGGAAGUUCCCAGCAUAUUUCUUAGAUAGUUCACGUGUCUAUAUUAAAAGUAGAUAUAUUUACAUAAAUUUAGAUGGCAAAAAGUAAUCUCUUUCUCUUAAUUAAUUACUUCUCCACUUUUGAAUUGACACACCUGAGUAUUAAGAAAACAAUAAGAAGUAGUAGAAAUAAUUAGGGAUGAUAAUGAGAUAGCGUGGAUGAAAGGUAGGGCGGAUUAAAGGUUAUAUGGGGCGGGGGCGGGGAGCUUUUAAGGUUGUAUGGGGUUGGGUGGAUGCAAAUUAAUGUGAGGCGGUGCGAUUUGUGGGUUCAUGUGAUUUUAUACGGAUUCAAAUUUAAUUUUAAUUGUAUAGGUUAUAAGAGUGAUGAAGCUUUCACGGAUAAAAAUACACAUGAUUUGGUAGUUAAACUAUUAGUAUUAGGAUUAGGAUAAAAUAAAGAGAAUAAUCUUGCCCUUUGUCUUGUAUUGUGUUAUAAUUCAUAUAAAAAAAUUUAUCUGAUUUGGAGUCUACUCAAUUUUCAAAAGAAAAAAAAAACUUUAAUUCAUGAUGUGCACUUUAUUUAUGCUUUUAUUUGCAUCUACUUAUUUUGACCCAACGAAAAUGAAUUUUGUUAUUUAUGCUCUGCAUAAAUUGCAUCUAGUUAAAAAGAAUUUUGAAAUAUUGAGUUUUAUGAAUUUGAUUUUAUUUUAUUUUCUACAAAAAUUGUGUGAUCAUUUGGUAAUGGCCAUUACUAUUGCUCAAAGAUUUUAAACAUGAAAUAUAACUAAUACAAUAAUAAUUUUAAUAUAGCUUACUAAAAUAUUCAAGAUAAUAAAUGAAAAUGAUUAGAGUUUUCGAUAAAACUCAUCCUCAAACUAUAGCCUAGAUUUUGGUUACAUCCUUGCAUUAUUAUAUUGAACAAAAAACAUCAUUCAUCUAUCUAAGAAGUUUCAAUAGUCAUCCUUCGGUUAAUUUUGGUAAAAAGUUAACUUGUUAUCGUCAAAAUAUGUGUAAAGCAUGUAGGUUUCCCUCUAAAUCUCCUAACCUAAAUCGUCUUCUCCACUAUAUUUUGAGCUAUUGCACUUUAGAUUUGUGUCAUAGUUGAAGGAUGAUUUCAGUAAAAAAUUUAAAAUAAUUUAAUUAAAAUUAAUACAAUUUCUUACCUACUUCCUAAUUGGGAACUUUGUAUUUAUGAUAAAGAAGUAUAAAAAAGUUAUCCCGAACCCGACCAGUAAAUGCUUUUUUAUAAAAUUUAGAACCUAUAGUUUUUUAAUCUUCCAGGGGUCCCAUUUUUCUAUGGAUUGAAUUAUCAUAAUAUUUUAUGACAAAAUACUGUAAAAUGGUGUAUGAUUGUAUGGCAUAUAUACCAUUUGUAUAUUCCCCAAAAUCAAUGAUAACCAUUUGUCUCUAACUUUAAUUUUGAAUUGUACUAAUUGAAUAUAUUAAUUGUACAAUAUACAUUUAUUUAGUUCAAAGAUUUCCUCUUUGUACUUUAAGCUUUGGAGUGUAUUGUUUUCCGCAUUUUAUGAAGUGUUACUAUUAGAAAAAAAGGCAUAAUACAUAAACAUGUGAUAUUCAAAUUUGGUCUCAGUUAAAUUCUCCAAUUUAUAAAAUGAUCAUUUAGAUUCUUCCAAAAUUAUUUGUUAUGUUAAUGUAGGAUGUCCACGAGAUACAUUGAGGCCAAGUUGGAGUGUUUAGCUGUUAGUUAAUAGCAAGUUAAAAUAUCUAGACGUGCACUUUCAAAGUUAGAGACUGAUUUUAUGUUGUUUUUUAUUUGUGUGUCUAAUUAUGAUGUUUUAUUUAUAUGGUUUGAUUUGUGAAUGAAUUUUGAUUUUGCUCAUGUUAUUGUUGAUGGAUUCAUUUUCAGUCACUACUUAAUUAGUUACUAGAUGUGGAUUAAGAUUUUGAGUUUGUAAGUUCUAGAUCUCAACCGAUCAUUUUUGAAGUUUGUUGGAAUGUCAUAACAUAAAUACAUGAUUUGAAUCAAAGUUAUUGAGUUUGAUCAAACCCGUAGAUCCUAUACACGGUGGAUGAGUGAAGCAGAAAUAAUUGGACAAAAUUCAUUUAGGAGUCAUUUGCAAAUGAGAUUGUAUUUGGAAGAGAAUUUUGAAUAUUACAUAUUGAUAGUAGUGUCUAAGGUGUUAUAUACAAAUACUUUUAGAACAAACUUUUUUCUUACAUAAUGAACACAAGAAAAUAAGUAAGAAAACCUACUUAUUCUCCGGGGAAACAUUUUCCAAAAAGACAUUUUAGAGGCAUUGUUAUCAUUUGGUAGAUCCAGGUCCAUGGCCUAUUUCUAUGGAACACAUUCUUCAUGGUACCGAACACAAUCUCAGAACUUUGUUCGUUGAUAUCCACUGUUACGGACCUCACUUGUGGGAUGUGUUGUUGUUGUUUGAGUUGAUAUGCCCGAAAGUCUUUGUGGGUAGGAGGGAGUAUAAGAAUGAUCCACAACUCCCGGCAAAGAUGUAACAUUACCAUGUUGGUCCAAGUAUAACAGAUGGAUCCCUAUCUUCUUUACUAGUCUCUGUCAGUUUCAUUCUUUACUGUUAUCUGUUCCCCACCUUUGAUGUUCAGGCCUUUAAAAGGUCUAUCAUUUACGGAAGAUAAGUAAUAUACACAUGAUACUUCUCCGUGACUGUUAGGUCUAUCAAAAGGCCAAAUCCACGGAAAACCUGUACUCUUUUUAUGGGCAACAGUAACAGCGAAGUGUUCAAGAUCAUGUACAUCGCAAAGGCGGCAAACAAACCAGAGAACCAUUCCUAAGAACUUGUUAUAAUGUACUGUGGGCAUAGUCAAACAGAUAGAUGGAGCUGUUACUUUAUUGCUGCACCAAUCUGGAAUCUCAUUGCUUUCGAGAUUAAUUUGUAAUGACAGCUUCAUCAGACAAAUUAAGACACAAUUAGAUCAUUAAUUAUUAAUGUGAUACGAGAGAGAUCAGAGAGGGAGAGGGACUAACCUCAUACCGUUGAUGUUCUCUAGACGGAAUUGAUAGAGCAGGGGCACUAAAGAAGCCUUCACUGAAUGGAUUCUGCAGACGAGUACAAUUAAUCAUGUUCAUCUUCUCUAUUGAAGGGAGGUUGUCCAACCCUGCAAUCUUGACCAGUUUUUGGCAAUUCCUAAGUUCAACAAUUUCAAGGUACUCUAAAUUUGAUAUUGACGGGAGUGUUUGAAGGUUCUCACAAUCAUUCAAAUACAAGGACAUCAACAAUUGUAACUUGGAAAAAUCAAAGGGUAGAUAGAGGAAACUGCUGCCGCUCAAAUCUAAAUGAUAUAAGUUGGAUAAACUCCCAAUAUCCCUAGGAACAUCAGCCUCUGAAAAACCACAAUAUGGAAGGCAUAGAAUCGAAAUAAAUUUUGACAAGGAUACUAUAGGGCGUACUCUUGUUUGAGAAAACCUCCUUUUGGUCUCAAAGUAUUGACCUCCCAUUUCCAAUUCUAUAAGAUUUCCUAGCAUUUCAACAGAUCCAGGCAAUUCUUUUAUACCUGUUUCACGUGCAUUAAGAAAUCUUAGGCUUUGCAUAUCUCCAAUGUCAACUGGCAGUGUUUGUAAAGAUGAGCAGUCAUUAAUGUACAAGAUUUCAAGGGAUUUUAGCUGACAUAUGCUGCUCCAAAGAUCAGUAAUCUUUUUGCAACCACUCAAUCGAAGACAAAUUAGUCUGUCCAAAUUUCCUAUGGAUGGAUGGAUCUCCUUCAGACUUGAGCAAUUCUCAAGCCACAAAGUCUCGAGACUUCGUGAACCGUUGAAGUUUGGAGUUUUUCUGAGGCGCUUGCAAUAAGAGAGAUCCAGCAUUUUCAAAUUUCUACAAUACUAAAAGUAAACAAAACAUAGUUUCAAUUAAGAUUUUCUUUCUCUUAAACAUUACACAUAAAAUUGCAGAAUUGAGUAACGAACCUGCAAAUUCAAACCAAAUUCUUGGAUAUUGCUCCCUUUCAUAUUCAGAAAUACAAGUUUCUCAGAUGGAAAAUUUGAUGGUACACAUUUUAACGGACAUCCUUUCCAAGACAACCAUCUGAGCUCCUUGGACAAUAGCUCAAAAUCUCCACUAAUAUGUAAGUGGUCUAUUUUAAGCACCCUAAGAUUUAUCAUUUUCUGAAAUACUUUGGUGCUUAGCUUCACACCCUUUAAUGCUUGUCGUUCUACCACCAAUAUUUCUACUUUUUUAGAACCCUGCAAUUUAGUAAAAAUAAAAGUACUAUAAGACCAUGCUUAAGUAUGACAAAUUAAGAAAGAGAAAUGCUUUAUACAAAUUGAAGGUCAAACAAAUAGAAUAAAUUAUGUACCGAUAAAAAUAAAUUUACACAUUAUAUCCAACUAAAGGAUAUUUAAUUGAUAAUUUUGUCUUUGACAGAUUGAGUGUUUAGACUUCAGUAAAUGUUCAUUUCAAGUACAGAAUGGUUCAAACAUCUAGAGAUACUUACUGGCCGGAGAAGAUUUAAGCACAAAUGCAUAAAUUAUAAGCAAAUGUAUAUCAAUAUAAAUGUAAAAAAGAAGAAGAAGUAUAACCAAGAUAAAGAUAAUAAAAUUUACUGACUUUAUUUCCUUGUAGAACAUCAAUGACUUCUUGAGGGUUGAACAAUCUACUCCGUUUUCCAGGGUCUUGAGAUUCCAUGCGAACGAUUUCUCUUCCCAUUUCCUGCACUAGAUCAUGCAUCACCAAACUAGACCAAUCAUCCCUUUGGAGCAAGUUCCUUUGGACUAAGGUUGAAUUGAACUUUCAGAAUAAAAACCACACGCAUUUAAUGUUUUGGCAACUUCAUCCUCAUAACAACCAUGGAAGGCACAUGCGAUAUCAAAGGAAAACACUCCGAGUAUUGACAUCAAGUCCAUCAAAGCUUAUCUUGAGAAUCUUUUGAAUAUCACCAUGAGGAAUUGCUUUUAGUUUUUUGAACUCGUAUCUCCAUUCUUUAACGGAUCUCCCUAGCAGAUGUGACCCCAAUGUCACAAGAGCUAAUGGUAGCCCACCUGAAUAUUUUAUUAUGUCUUGUGCCAGUUCAACAUAUUCUUGUGGUGGAGAAAAACAGUUAAAAGCAUGACAAGAAAAAAGUUGUUGGGCUUCAUUGUCAUUUAAAAGUUUGGCCCGGUAUAUCUCACUUGUUGUAAGCCCAUAUAGCAAAUGUUCAUCUCGGGUUGUAAUAAUUAUUACACUACCAGAGCCAAACCAACUUCUUUCUCUUGUUAAGGAUUCUAAUUGGCUUCUAUGAUCUACGUCAUCAAGAACAAUUAGAACCUUUUGAGACCCAAGUCUUGCUUUGAUGAGAUUAGCACCUUCAGCAACAUUAUCAACUUCAAAUUCCUUAGUUUUGAGGAUUUGAUUAAGUAGUUUCUCUUGAAGCUUGACUAGACCAGAUUCUUCAGUUUUUGAUCUAAUGUCAGAAAGGAAGCAACUACCAUCAAACUGUUGAAAUAUUCGAUUAUAGAUAGCUUUUGCCAAAGUUGUUUUUCCAAUUCCACCAACGCCACAUAUACCAACCAUGCAAACUUCAUGCUCACAUCCACUUUGCAGUAACAACUCUAUAUGUUUGAUAGGAGAAUCUAAUCCAGUUGGGUAAUGAGCAACAUCUAGAGGUGUCUGGUUAACCUCUCGCAGAACUUGUUUUAUAAUAUUUUCAAUAAAUUUUGCUUCAUGCCUACAGUUUUUGCAACAAUAAAUACUUAGGUAUUUAAAAAUAUUUGAUGAACAAAAUAAAAAUCAAUAGCCAAAAGAUAAAAGAGUUUAUAGAAUGGAGAAUAUAUUCCUUGUCCCUAUCUAUAUGACACAGUUUGAUUUGACACAAAAUUUAAGAAAUAUAGAAAGACUUUACAAUGUUCCAAAAUUAACCAAGUUAUAAGCUUAGGCAAACGCUUAAAUUCAAAAUUUAAUAGUUGAAUUAAGAAGUCUUACCCAUCAGCAACAUUUCUCAAAUCCCAUCCAGAUAAAUUUGCUGCUUCAGUAAGUGCAGCUUUCCACUUUUCCAUUCUUUCAGCUCCAACAAAUCGUUCCUUAUGUUUUGCCAAAGCUUCGUCAAAGGAUCCAGUUUGCCUUCGCACUUGAGAAGGAUCAACAUCAUAGAAAAUAGGCAAAACUACCUGAUUUAACCUCUCUUUGCAAUCGAGAAUUUUGACAAGUUCAUCAAGACACCAACUAGAGGAAGCAUAAUUUUUGGAGAAAACAACAAUGGCAACCCUAGACUGUUCAAUUGCUUUCUCAAGUUCAAUUGAAAUGACGUCUCCCUUUCUCAAUUCCUCAUCAUCUAUGAAAGUAUUAACUCCAACUUGACACAAUCGGAAAUAAAGAUGACCUGUGAAGUUUUUCCGAGUAUCUUCACCUCUGAAACUGAGAAACACAUCAUAAGAUAAGUUGGAAGAAGAAGAUGAUUCUCCUACAACAAAUUGAGUAUUCAUAUUUGAUGACAAUAAAUUAAAGAGAUUUUUAGUCAAUUUUUUGCUUAAUUAAUUAAAUAGAGAUGUGAAGCAGCUAUUUAUAUACCCACAAGUACUUGUUUGUUCCUGGAAAUUUAAUUUUGGGUCAAGUCAUUUACAAGCCCCAAAGAAGGUUUACAGAAAUGAAAGGGAAGUUUCCAAGACAUAAUAUGUCUAUUCACUUUUAUUUGUCCAGCUAUUAAAAGUAGAUAUACAAUUUACUUUCAUUUCCUUCGUAGAUUUUUACUCAUUCACACUAUUAAAAAUAAUGAUCAUUUUUAUAAUGUAUUUUUUCAUCAUAUUAAUAUGCAAAAAAUUGUAAUUUAUAAUUUUUUUAUAGUUUUUGAAUAUUUAAAUUUUUUGUUUAAAAUAUCAAAUUAAUACAAUCUAAUUUAAUUUUGAAAAUUAAUUAAAUUGACUUUCGAAAAUGACAAUAUGAUAUAAAUGAGAGAAUACCAAAAGAGCUGGCAAAUUUCCACCAAAACUUCGCAAGUGGAAAUUAUUAUUAUCUUAAAGUUAUGAACUCACAUCUACAAUUAUUAUUUAGUUUAUUAUAUUUAAAUAAAAAAGAGGAAAAGUCGGAAGUUGUAAAAUUUUAAAUGACAAGUAGAAUGUUUCAACAUGAAUUUAUGAUACUUUAAUAAGCAAUAUUCGUUCUGUAAUAAAUUAAUCGCAAAGAAUUGAUUAGGAAUUUGGUUGAAAAUAGAAAUGGUCCAAUUCAAGAUGAAACUAUUAGAAUUGACCUUUGGUGAGGAAGUAAAUUAAAUUACUCCCUUCGUCUAUUUUUAUUUGUCUAGUAUUAACUCAUGCAAUAAAUAAAACAAAAACAUGAUCGUAUUUGUUCCUGUAUUCUAACAAAAAAGUUAUAUUAUUUGUCAUUUGUUAUACUUCAGAGUCAUAUUUAUCCUUGAGACAUUAAAUCUCCAUGACCCGCCUUAAUUUAACGCAGAAUAGGACGAACACUCUUCUCCAAAGUCCAAGCUAAGACUGUUUCCAUUACUAAAAAUCAAUAAAUUACACAGUUCGAUCACUUACAAUGUUCUCUGGUAUUGUAGGUUAAUCAGAGAGACACUAUAUUCACUAUACAAAGAAAAAGUUGAUCAAUUUUUAAAACUAAGCUUUAGUGCAACUCUACAUACUAGCACUAUACAAUGGAAAAAUUGGUUACAUAAAUUAAACAAAAUUUUCUAUAGAAGCUACUGCUAUCGAAGCUCGAUGCUCCAUUGUUCAUACCUAAUAAUGGCUUUGUAGCCCUAUAAUAGUACACAUUCUACUACAUCCAUCUUCCCAUCUUCAUUGACAUCAUUUUCCUCUUCUUGUGGGCUUUAUGCUUUUCUGCAAUCCUCAGCCUCCUCUUGGCGUUUCUCAUUGGAUUGACCUUCUCUUCUUGUUUCCUCUUAUCCCUCUUCGAUUUGAUAUUCUUCCUUAUAUGACUGUAGAUUUGGACAAAAUAUGUGUUCCUAUAACAUUGCUUAUGCUCCCUCGCACUCCUUCAGCCAGUUGUUUCACGUCAUCUGUGGAGAUGAUGCAAACGUAAUGUCACGCCCCGAGCGUACACCCUGGGCAGGACCGGCACCCGGAGACCAUUUCUGGCCCCAAGCGAACCCUUGGCCUGGCUUUCUUAACUCAGCGGAAACCUAACCCAACAGAAUAACUCAAUGCAAUGCAAUAUUACAAAACAACUUAACUUAUAAAAUAUGGCCAUAAAGGCAACUCGAAUCUCAAAAUAGAAUAUUUACAUAUAUAUAUAGAUGAGAGACUCAAAACUAACUGACUGACUGUCUGUCUAUGAAGCCUCUAAAAUACUGAGAUGGAUGUUGGGACAGACCCCGCAACACCCUAAUAAGACAAAACUAAGAGAACAAAAUAACUAAGCCCUCCGGAAGCAAGGAGGCUCACACUGACUCUGGAGUGCUCAANNNNNNNNNNNNNNNNNNNNNNNNNNNNNNNNNNNNNNNNNNNNNNNNNNNNNNNNNNNNNNNNNNNNNNNNNNNNNNNNNNNNNNNNNNNNNNNNNNNNNNNNNNNNNNNNNNNNNNNNNNNNNNNNNNNNNNNNNNNNNNNNNNNNNNNNNNNNNNNNNNNNNNNNNNNNNNNNNNNNNNACAAGGAUACAAUAAGCCUGAGAUGUAUAUAGAAAUACAAUUAAACUGAUGUAUAUAAAAAAAUACAAUAAUCUCUGUGUAUGAAAAUACAAUAACUGCUGUGGGAGUUUCUCUAACNNNNNNNNNNNNNNNNNNNNNNNNNNNNNNNNNNNNNNNNNNNNNNNNNNNNNNNNNNNNNNNNNNNNNNNNNNNNNNACUUUGGCUCAUAUGUUUUAAAAACAAACUUCUUUCUUUAGUUUGAGAUAAUUGCUUAAAACCUAGCCCAAAGGCUCUCUUGGAAUCAAUGUUCCCUUUACUUUGCUCAAAUGUGAAAACAUUUAUAAACUUCUUUGGGAAUACUUAGUUCCCUAAUAGCUUUUGAGAAAUGAACUCAACUUUAUGCUCUUGACUUACUUGAAACUUGAGACUCUUUACUUAGCUUGAAACUUUAAACUCUUUACUUGACUUGACACUUGAGUCUAAAAAUGAAGUUAAAACGUUCAAUAAAGACUCUUGAACAACUUUGCAACUUGCUUACCUUGCUUAACUUCUAAGCUUAACUCUUAAUUUCUAACUUCACUUGACUUCUAACUAACUCUCCUUGAAUUGGAAUUUUGGAUUCAAGGUGUUUGAUCACAUGUUAUGGAUGAGUUCUUGACUUUUAGAAGUACCUUGGAGUGUUGGAAACAACUAGGAAACAUAGGUAUAAUACCUAGGAACAUGUAUGAAAAAAGUGGUGAAUGAAAGGGAAGGAUUGGUGUCCUUGGCACUAGGAGAGGUGCGACAGCCCAGCCCUUUGUUCCCCAAAAAUCCGACUUUUUCCCCUUGUUUCUUUCCAAUUCUAAACCCUCUCAACCUCAAGGUUUCAGCAACAACACUUAGAAUCAUAAAGACCCUUAUUAUACAAUAGAUUCAACUCAAAAAUCACAGCCGGAAAUUUGUACUAAACCAGCAAGAACUUCAACACAACACCACUACAACUUCAACAACCAAUAAAUCUUCUCUUGGAAUUAAAAACGAGUUGGUGUGUGGGGGUAUGAACCAACCAACNNNNNNNNNNNNNNNNNNNNNNNNNNNNNNNNNNNNNNNNNNNNNNNNNNNNNNNNNNNNNNNNNNNNNNNNNNNNNNNNNNNNNNNNNNNNNNNNNNNNNNNNNNNNNNNNNNNNNNNNNNNNNNNNNNNNNNNNNNNNNNNNNNNNNNNNNNNNNNNNNNNNNNNNNNNNNNNNNNNNNNNNNNNNNNNNNNNNNNNNNNNNNNNNNNNNNNNNNNNNNNNNNNNNNNNNNNNNNNNNNNNNNNNNNNNNNNNNNNNNNNNNNNNNNNNNNNNNNNNNNNNNNNNNNNNNNNNNNNNNNNNNNNNNNNNNNNNNNNNNNNNNNNNNNNNNNNNNNNNNNNNNNNNNNNNNNNNNNNNNNNNNNNNNNNNNNNNNNNNNNNNNNNNNNNNNNNNNNNNNNNNNNNNNNNNNNNNNNNNNNNNNNNNNNNNNNNNNNNNNNNNNNNNNNNNNNNNNNNNNNNNNNNNNNNNNNNNUGAUUUGUGAAAAGACCAAAAUGCCCUUAAAUUUUCCGGACGGAUUCCCUGCCAACUGCCCAACUUUCAAAGGGCAUAACUCGCUCAUACGAACUCGGAAUCGAGUAAUCUCAAUGGCGUUGGAAAGAUCAUUCCACAAGCUUCGCAACCAUAACUGGAACUACUCCUAACUCAUCCUGAGCUAGGAGUUACGACUGACUCAAAGUUGGCCAAAAUCACUGAUUUCCACACUUAGCCAAAUUUUCCAGAUUUUGAAUUUUUCCAAAUUUCCAGAUUCUGGACUGCCAAAUUUCCAGAUUUUAAAUUUUUCCAAAAAUGACUAUUUCCAAAUUCAAGCUUCUUCAUAUUCAUUUUAAAUUGUCGGAUGUUACACGUAAUCAUCAAAUAUAUUAAGGACUACAAAGUUAAUCACUCGGAAGCCAAAGAGGAAGUGAAGAACAUUUGUAAAUGCAGCUAGCACUUUGCAUAUAAGAUAGUAUGGGCAGACACUUGAAACAACAAGUUUGCAAGAGAUUGAAUGAGAGACCAUACCUGAUAUAACUUUUCCAGCAAAUCCUUCACAAACUUUGUACAGGGGCAACAGCAUAUGAUAUGCAAAGCUUUGGCAAUCAACCUCACCUUCAGGGGACAACAAUCUACUCUGAUCUAUAAGCUUUGGUGAAACUGAUUUGAAACAAUUGAAGAUAAUUCUCAUCUGCAAAAAAUUGUGCACAUUCCACAGCAUGAGAACAGGCACUCCUAGCACCAUAUAUGGGAGAGUAAGGCACAAAAUAUUUUUUUUGGAAAACAACGAGAAGGUAAAUUACAUAGCAAUGACUAGGCUAAGAAAUUUUUUGCGAGUCGAGCAAACAGAGAUAUCCUUAAUUAAUCACCCACCUGCAUAUCCUCCACAUGAAGGGAAAUCUUUCCCAUUGUCUUAAGCAAAUAAGAAAUGACCAAGUAGCGCUGGCCUUCAUCUUCUUGAUCGCUAAGGUCAGACACAAGAGACAGAUAGAUGUUUUUCCCUUUCCUUGAAUCAAGCUGUUGAAAAGCCUUAAGCAGAAGACCCUGCUCGUCAUGUUCAAUGGUGGACCAGAACUCAUCUUUACAUUCAUUUUUUCCUAAGAAUGAAUGCAGAGAGCAAAUUGAAAAGACAAGAUUUUGAGUAAUGAGAUCACUGGCAGCAUCAUCAGUCUGCAGCACCUUCAGCUGACAACAAAGAGAAGUAGCUACGAAGAAAAGUCUACUUGGCCUCAUCAAAAAGUAAGUUUCUUGUGGCAGUUCAAGGUUUUCUUUCCAAGCCUCAGUCACAGUGGCAAAGUAGCAAGCCACAAGACGGUUUGAUAUGUUGCGCAACCACAGAUGCGGAUGCAAAAGCAACUCACAGAUUGCUUCCCACAGAUCCUAUGAGAUGUCAAUAAAAAUAAUAGUCAGAAAACAAAUAUGAAUUUAUCCAAAGAACAGGACAAGUUAUUGGCAAUCUGGAAAUGGGAGUGUGGUAGCUGUGGAGCGUACUUUCCCCAGUACAACAAUAACAUACCUAGUGAAAUCCCACUAAGUGGGGUCAGGGGAGGGUAGAAUGUACGCAGUCCUUACCACUACCUCGUGGAGGUAUAGAGGCUGUCUCCGAAAAACCCUCGGCUCAAGUGCAUCAAACCAAAGUAAAAGUAUCCUCUUCAAACUUUAAGCCCAGUAUACUAUUCAAACUCUAAGCACUUGAUUUUCAAAUACUUCUUAACUUUACACCUAGUCUGUAGUUGCAACUAUCUUUUGGCAUGCUGCCUAAGUUUGAGGACUAAAGCAAUUUCACCUAAGUGGUUGUAGCCACACCAAAAAGUAAUUCAUUUCUUAAAUCUAUCACAAAGCAAAAUGAGGUCCAGCGGUUUUCACAUAAGUCCCCUCGUACAUAUGCUAAGUAGGACAUAUUAUGGAUGACUUGGUUUUAGCCCUAUAUUUUAAGACCAUAGCUAAAAUAAUGAAAUACANNNNNNNNNNNNNNNNNNNNNNNNNNNNNNNNNNNNNNNNNNNNNNNNNNNNNNNNNNNNNNNNNNNNNNNNNNNNNNNNNNNNNNNNNNNNNNNNNNNNUAUCAUAAUCAAGAUCUCCCAACUCUACAGUAGACGUGGCAUUCAAUUCACGAAGAAGAUUUGCCUGUAUGAAAUUAAGAAGUGUUACACGUCAACAAACACCUAAAGCAACAAGUUCAAAAGAAAACUAGAUGGUCUAGUAAUACCGUAGGAUGUACAGAAGAAUCAUUCCCUGCGACAGCAUCAAGAACAUCACAAAUAGAAGUACGGACAUCCAAGCCAGCAGAAAUUACGAGUGGAGAAACAGAUUUGACGGUCUUUUUACUGCUUUCACUACCCAAUGGUUCUACAAUAUCCUUAAUAAUCUGUAAAGUGCCUACACAAAUCUCUGCAACCAGAAAGAAAGGUAAUCUUAGAAAAAGAGCAAGGACAUGAGACCAAACAGGUCCACCAAAACUGUAAGACAAAACUCAGAGACUCUGACCAGGGUCUUUGGAUCUCUUUGACAGAAGCGGAAGCAAGAUGUCAAGAAACUUCCUUGCAGCCAAUGGUCCCUUUAUGUGCUUCGAUAAAAGCUUGAAGACAUUGAGCUCUUUUUCCCCAGGAUAUUUGACAAUCUUCCUGGAAAAGUGAAUACAUCAGUUAAGAGGAGAACUGAUGCUAGUGCAUCUCAUAUAACACUUAAUUACAUAAAGAGCAUGCUAAGUCCACUUAGCCAUAUAGGGUGGAUGACACAUACACAAGAAAAUAAGUAAGAAACCUACUUAUUCUCCGGAGAAGCAUUUUCCAAAAAGACAUUUUAGAGGCAUUGUUAUCAUUUGGUAGAUCCAGGUCCAUGACCUAUUUCGAUGGAACACAUUUUCCAUGGUACAUAACACAUUCUCAGAAUUUCGCUCAUUGAUAUCCAUUGAUACGGACCUCACUUGUGGGAUUUCACGGGAUGUGUUGUUGCUUGAGUUGAUAUGCCCUGCUGAAAGUCUUUGUGGGUAGGAGGGAGUAUAAGAAUGAUCCACAACUCCCGGCAAAGUUGUAACAUUACCAUGUUGAUCUAAAUGUAAUAGAUGUACUCCUAUCUUCUUUACUAUGGCUCCGCCACUGCUAUCCUCUACUCUUAUCUGUUCCCCGCCUUUGAUGUUCAGGCCUUUAAAAGGUCUAUCAUUUGCGUAAGGUAAGUAAUAUACACAUGAUACUUCUCCGUGACCAUCAGGUAUAUCAAAAGGCAAAAUCCAUGAAAAACUCUUUUUAUGGGAAACAGUAACAACAAGGUGUUCAAGCUCAUGUACAUCGCAAAGGCGGCAAACAAACCAGAGAACCAUUCCUAAGAACUUGUUAUUAUGUACUGUGGGCAUAGUCAAACAGAUAGAUGGAGCUGUUACUUUAUUGCUGCACCAAUCUGGAAUCUCAUUGCUUUCGAGAUUAAUUUGUAACAACGACUUCAUCAGACAAAUUAAGACACAAUUAGAUCAUUAAUUAUUAAUGUGAUACGAGAGAGAGAUCAGAGAGGGAGAAGGACUAACCUCAUACCAUUGAUAUUUUCUACACGAAAUUGAUAGAGCAGGGGCACUAAAGAAGCCUUCACUGAAUGGAUUCUGCAGACAAGUACAAUUAUUCAUGUCCAUCUUCUUUAUUGAAGGGAGGUUGUCCAACCCUGUAAUCUUGACCAGUUUUUGGCAAUUCCUAAGUUCAACAACUCUAAGGUACUCUAAAUUUGAUAUUGAUGGGAGUGUUUGAAGGUUCUCACAAUCAUUCAAAUACAAGGACUUCAACCAUGGUAACUUGGAAAAAUCAAAGGGUAGAUAGAGGAAACUGUUGCCGCUCAAAUCUAAAUGAUAUAAGUUGGAUAAACUCCCAAUAUCCCUAGGAACAUCAGCCUCCGAGAAACCACAAUAUGGAAGGCAUAGAAUCGAAAUAAAUUUUGACAAGGAUACUAUGGGGCGUACUCUUGUUUGAGAAAACCUCCUUUUGGUCUCUAAGUAUUGACCUCCCAUUUCCAAUUCUAUAAGAUUUCCUAGCAUUUCAACAGAUCCAGGCAAUUCUUUUAUACCUGUUUCACCUGCAUUAAGAAAUCUUAGGCUUUGCAUAUCUCCAAUGUCAACUGGCAGUGUUUGUAAAGAUGAGCAGUCAUUAAUGCUCAAGUAUUCAAGGGAUUUUAGCUGGCAUAUGCUGCUCGGAAGAUCCGUAAUCUUUUCGCAACCAUUCAAUUGAAGAUCAGUUAGUCUGUCCAAAUUUCCUAUUGAUGGAUGGAUCUCCUUAAGACUUGAGCAAUUGUCAAGCCACAAAGUCUCGAGACUUCUUGAACCACAGAAGUUUGGAGUUCUUCUGAGGUGCUUGCAAUCAGAGAGAUCCAGCAUUUUCAAAUUUCUACAAUACUAAAAGUAAACAAAAUAUUGUUUUAAUUAAGAUUUUCUUUAUCUUAAACAUAACACAUAAAAUUGCAGAAUUGAGUAACGAACCUGCAAAUUCAAACCAAAUUCUUGGAUAUUGCUCCCUUUCAUAUUCAGAACUACAAGCUUCUCAGAUGGAAAAUUUGACGGUAUACAUUUUAAAGGACAUUCUUUCCAAGACAACCAUCUGAGCUCCUUGGACAAUAGCUCAAAAUCUCCACUAAUAUGUAAGUCGUCGAUUUUAAGCACCCUAAGAUUUAUCAUUUUCUGAAAUGCUUUGGUGUUCAGCUUCACACCCUUUAAUGCCUGUCGUUCUACCACCAAUAUUUCUACAUUUUCAGAACCCUACAGUUUGGUAAAAAGAAAAGUACUAUAAGACCAUGUUAUGUAUGAUAAAUUAAGAAAGAGAAAUGCUUUAUACAAAUUGAAGGUCAAACAAAGAAAAUAAAUUAUGUACCAAUAAAAAUAAACUUACACAUUAUAUCCAACUAAAGGAUAUUUAUUUGAUAAUUUUGUCUUUGAUAGCUUGUUUAGACUUCAGUAAAUGUUCAUUUCAAGUACAGAAUGGUUCAAACAUCUAAAGAUACUUACUAACCGGAGAAGAUUUAAGCACAAAUGCAUAAAUUAUAAGCAAGUGUAUAUCAAUAUGAAAAAAGAAGAAGAAGAAGUAUAACCGAGAUAAAGAUAAUGAAAUUUACUGACUUUAUUUCCUUGUAGGACAUCAAGGACUUCUUGAGGGUUGACCAAUCUACUCCGUUUUCCAAAGUCUCGAGGUGAUUCCAUGCGAACGAUUUCUCUUCCCAUAUCCCGCACUAGAUCAUGCAUCACCAAACGACGCCGAUCCCUUUGGAGCAGGUGUCUUUUGACUAGAGUUGCAAUUGCAGUUUCACAAUAAAAACCACAGGGGUUUAAUGUUUUGGUAACUUCAUCCUCAUCACAUCCAUGGAAAGCGCACGCAAUAUCAAGGAAAACACUCUGAGUAUUGUCAUCAAGUCCAUCAAAGCUUAUUUGGAGAAUCUUUUGAAUAUCAAAAUGAGGAAUUGUUCUUAGUUUUUUGAACUCGUAUCUCCAUUCUUCAACGGAUCUCCCUUGCAGAUGUGACCCCAAUGUCACAAGAGCUAAUGGUAGCCCACCUGAAUAUUUUAUUAUGUCUUGUGCCAGCUCAACAUAUUCUUGUGGUGGAGAAAAACAGUUAAAAGCAUGACAAGAAAAGAGUUGCGGGGCUUCAUUGUCAUUUAAAAGUUUGGCCCGGUAUAUCUCACUUGUUGUAAGCCCAUAUAGCAAAUGUUCAUCUCGAGUUGUAAUAAUUAUUACACUACCAGAGCCAAACCAACUUCUUUCUCUUGUUAAGGAUUCUAAUUGGCUUCUAUGAUCCACGUCAUCAAGAAUAAUUAGAACCUUCUUUGACCCAAGUCUUGCUUUGAUUAGACUAACACCUUCAGCAACACUAUCAACUUCAAAUUCCUUAGUUUUGAGGAUUUGAUGAAGUAGUUUCUCUUGUAGCUUGACUAGAACAUAUUCUUCAACUUUUGAUCUUAUGUCUGAAAGGAAGCAACUACCGUCAAACUGUUGAAAUAUUCGAUUGUAGAUAGCUUUUGCCAAAGUUGUUUUCCCAAUUCCACCAACGCCACAUAUACCAACCAUGCGAACUUCAUGCUCACAUCCACUUUGCAGUAACACCUCUAUAUGUUUGAUAGGAGAAUCUAAUCCAAUUGGGUAAUGAGCAACAUCUAGAGGUGUUGGGUUAACCUCUUGCAGAACUUGUUUUAUAAUACUUUCAAUAAACUUUGAUUCAUGCCUACAGUUUUUGCAACAAUAAAUACUCAAGUAUUUUAAAUUAUUUGAUGAACAAAAUGAAAAUCAAUAGCCAAAAGAUAACAGAGUUUAUAGAAUGGAGAUUAUCCCUUGUCCCAAUCUACGGUUUGAUUUGACACGAAAUUUAAGAAAUAUAAAAAGACUUUACAAUGUUCCAAAAUUAACCAAGUUUUAAGCUUAGGCAAAUGCUUAAAUUCAAAAUUUAAUAGUUGAAUUAAGAAGUCUUACCCAUCAGCAACAUUUCUUAAAUCCCAUCCAGAUAAAUUUGCUGCUUCAGUAAGUGCAGCUUUCCACUUUUCCAUUCUUUCAGCUCCAACCAAUCGUUCCUUGUGUUUUGCCAAAGCUUCGUCAAAGGACGAAGUUUGCCUUCGCACUUGAGAAGGAUCAACAUCAUAGAAAAUAGGCAAAACUACCUGCUUUAACCUCUGUUUGCAAUCGAGAAUUUUGACAAGUUCAUCAAGACACCAACUAGACGAAGCAUAAUUUUUGGAGAAAACAACAAUGGCAACCCUAGAUUGUUCAAUUGCUUUCUUAAGUUCAAUUGAAAUUUCGUCUCCUUUUCUCAAUUCCUCAUCAUCUAUGAAAGUAUUAACUCCGACUUGAUACAAUCUGAAAUAAAGAUGACCUGUGAAGUUUUUGCGAGUAUCUUCACCUCUGAAACUGAGAAACACAUCAUAACAUAAGUUGGAAGAAGAAGAUGAUUCUCCUUGAGUAUUCAUAUUUGAUGACAAUAAAUUAAAGAGAUUUUUAGUCAAUUUUUUUGUUUAAUUAAUUAAAUAGAGAUGUGAAGCAGCUCUUUAUAUGCCCACAAGUAAUUGUUUGUUCCUGGAAAUUUAAUUUUGGGUCAACUCAUUUACAGGCCCCAAAGAAGGUUAACAGAAAUGUAAGGGAAGUUUCCAAGAUAUUUCAUAGACAUGUUGCGUUCAAUUUUAUAUGUUAUAAUAUUAAAAAUAGAUAUACAAUUUACUUCCACUUCUUCCGUAGAUUUUUACUUGUUCACAUUAUAAACUAUAGUGAUCAUUUUUAUUUGUACAAUUUAAAAAUAAUCAAAAAUAAGAACUUUUAAUUUAUUUAUUUUAAAAUGUGUCAUACUUCCAAUAAUUCACUUAUGAACCAGUGAGAGUAGAUAAUGAGUGACUUGCUUUCACAUUUAUUGUCAGCACAACUCUAUCAGUCUUCUUUUUUUUUCAUCACUUUCACACUAUCGACAAGUGGAUUGACAUUACCAUGUUGGUCUAAAUAUAGCAGAUGGAUCCCUAUCUUUUUUAUUGCAUCUUUGCGAAAGAACAAAUAGUCAGACUCGUGAACUGUUACCUUUGAUCAUCUGGUCAACAAAAGGACUAGUUAAGCAAGAUAUGUAAUAUACACAUGAUACUUCUCUGUAUUGUCCGAUCGAGUAUAUCAAUAUCACAAAUUCUUGACAUAGAUACUCUCUCUCUAUCGGAUACAGCAAUACUGAAGCGUCCAAAAGUGGAUGAAAGUCUCUUAAAGUCGCAAAAAAAAACAGAGAAUCAUUCCUAAGAACUUGUACCCCUUAUCAUGUACUGUGGGCAUAGUGAAACAGAUAGAUGGAGAUGUUACUUUAUUGCUGCACCAAUCUGGAAUAUCAUUGCAUUCGACACAAAUUCGUAAAACUUGCUUCUUCAGAGUGUGAAAUGACAGAGCCUGGGCACCUUGAUUGAACGAUCUCCUUCAUCCUUGAGCAACCUUGAAGCUUCAAAGUCUCGAGACUUGUUGCACCGUUGAAGUUUGGAGUUUUUUUGAGGGCCGAGCACCAAGAGAUAUUCAGCUCCUUCAACCUUGGGCAACACUAAAUGUCAACCAAGUACAUUAAUAUUCAAGUUAUACAAGACUAUUUUGUAUAAUUUCACUAGUCAAUGAAAAAUGUAGAAUUGGGCAACAAAUUAAACCUGCAAAUUCAAGCCAAAUUUUUCGAUAGCACUCCCUUCCAUAUUAAGAACUACAAGAUUCGCAGCUGGAAAAUUUGGUGGAAUAUAUUUUAAAUGACAUCUUUGCCAAGAUAACCAUUUGAGCUCCUUGGGAAAAUGCCACAAAUCUCCAUGAAUACGUAAUCCAUUGAUUAUAAGCACCCUGAGUUUCUUCAUUUUCUUAAAUGCAUCGGUGCUAAACUCCACUCCCUCUAAUUCCCCUGGUUCAUCUAACCUCAUUACUUGUACAUUUCCGAAACUCUGUAGUUCAGAGAAAAUGUUUUAAUUAGGACUAAGAAUUGUAACACGACAUACAAUUAAAUUAAAAAGGAACAAGGAUUUACUCACGUUUUUUCCUCGUAAAACAGCACAGACUUGUUGAGGUAUGAAUAAUCUACUCCGUUCUACAAGGCAUUGAGAUUCUGAGCGAACAAUUUCUCUUCCCAUAUCUCGCACUAGAUCAUGCAUACUUACACAACCCCCAAGUACCCCUUGGAGCAACUGUUUUUGGACUAAAGUUGCAAUUUCACAUUUAGUGUGAAAACCACAUGCAUUUAGUAUUUCAGUUUUCUUGAGAGUCUUUUGGAUAUCAUCAUGAGGAAUUUCUUUUAGUCUCUUGAAUUUGCGUCUCCAGUUUUCUAUGGAUUCCCCUCGAAAAUGUGAACCCAAUGUCACAAGUGCUAAUGGUAGCCCACCUGAAUAUUUGAUUAUGUCUUUCGUCACCCCAACAUAGUCUUUAGGUGGAGAAAGACUGUCAAAAGCAUGACGAUAAAAAAGUUGCUGAGAUUCAUUGUCAUUUAAUUGGUUGAUCAUACAUCUUUUUGCAUUAAGCCAACUUAGCUAAAGCUCGUCUCGGAUUGUAAUAACUAUUAUACUACCCAAACCAAACCAUUUCUUUUCUUUUGUUAACGAUUCUAAUUGUUUUUUUGUGUCCACUUCAUCAAGAACAAUUAGAACCUUCUUUGACCCCAGUUUUCUUUUGAUUAGAUUGAUUCCUUCAGCAACACUGCGAACUUUGUACUCGUUGGUUUUGAACAGUAUAUUGAGAAGUUUCUCUUGUACACUUUCUAGACCAAUCUUUUUUUCUAGCAAUCUAACAUCAGAAAGGAAGCAACUACCAUCGAAGAUAAAUAAUCGAUUGUAGAUAUUUUUGGCCAGAGUUGUUUUCCCGAUUCCACCAACUCCAUAUAUACCAACCAAGUGAACUUCAUCUACGUGUCCAUUUUGCAAUAACGACUUUAUAGGUUUAGUACGAGAAUCAACUCCAAUUGGGUAAGAAGCAACAUGUAGAGGUGUAUGGUUGACCUCUUUCUUCAUAUCUUGUAUAAUCAUUUCAAUAAAUUCAGCUUCAUGCCUACCAAUAUUUUUACCAAAAAACACUCACAUGAUGGGAGGUGUUACGCUUUAAAAUAGUUGCCUAUCUAUGGAUGGCAAUGGGGCGGUGCGGGACGGGGCGCGUUGAGCUUAAUCUAUAAAAAAUUUAAUUCGCUCUGCAUAACAAUUUUUUUCAUUUUCAACCUGCCCCGCAUGAAACUCCCCACAUAGUUUUUUUAAUAUUUUUCUUUUCUAGUUAAGUUUGACACUAAAAAUAAAAUUCAUAAAAAUAAAUUCAUUUUUUCAUUAAGUUGUAUUAAUUUAAUAGAAAAUGACCUAAAUUUUAUUUUUUAGAAGUCAAUUGGUAAACAUGUAAGAAAUUGUAUUAAUUUUUAUUGAAUCAUUUUCAUUUACCAUCUUGAAUAUUUUAGUAGCUUUAGAGAAAUUAUCUUAAUAAAUAAUGUUCUAUCACUCUUAUAGCAUGUAAAAAGUUAAAAUUAAAUUGAAUCCACAUAAUGCCACAUAUUCCGGCAACCCCGUCCCACAUAGCCUUAAAUCCACUCCAUCCCGCAUCCGCCCCGUUUCAUUGUUAUCUAUGGCUAUCAAACGACCCAAAAUUGUUAACAGAAAUAAAAAGGAAGUUUCCUAAGAGGUACUUUCUCUUUUGGGUAAUAACCAUAGUUAAUAGUAUAAUUAAAAACAUUACAUUUCAUCCUUGUAGGAAAUUACUUAUGGGGUUCUUGAUAGGCAAUCUUACUGUGGAGGAAAGUUGAUAGAAAUUGAAUGGAAACAUUCAAAUUCUUUUUCUUUUUAAUUGAAUGGUUUUCACAUUCUAAAUUUUCUCUACCCACCAAAGGUCAAUUCUAAUAGUGGUUGCAUCUUGAAUUGGACCCUUUUUAUUUUUAAACAAAUUUCUUAGUACACAAAACAAAUAUAUUGCUUACUUUAAAAGCAAGGUAUCAUAAAUUCACGUCGAAACAUUGUACUUGCCCUUUAAAAUUUUACAACUUAUGAUUUUCAUCUUUUUUUAAAAAAAAUAAUGCAAGAAAUAUGUCAUGAUGUUCCACUAUGCCUUUAUAAAUCUCCAUUUAUCUUUGUUUUGUUUGUUUAAUCGAAAUUUAAUCUUCUUACUGUUACGAUUACCAGAUUUUACACACUACUUGCCUAUUCUUUCUUCUUCUAACCUUUUCUUUUCCUUUUUGAAUAUUUUCUUUUAAUAUUAGUAUUUCUUUUGAAUGGUCUAACCAGUAGUUGAACUUAGAAGCUUUCUUUGGUUAUGAAACCAAAUUAAUAUUAUUUACCUUAUUUAGAGGUAUUGCCACUAUAAGUAAUACAACGAUUAACUAUUUUAUGCAAAACUUUCGUAAAUGUGCUUUUACAUAAAUUUCCAUUCAGUGUGACACACACGAAGUAAAACCACAUGUUUCUUCUUUUUGCAUUCCAAAAAAAAGGAAGAAUAUUCUUCUCCAUUACUAAAAAUCAAUAAAUUACACAGUUCAAUCACUUACAAUGUUCCCUGGCAUUGCAUGUUAAUCAAAGAGACACUAUAUUCACUAUACAAUGAAAAAGUUGAUUCAAUUUUUUAAACUAAGCUUAGUGCAACUCAACAUACUACCACUAUACAAUGGAAAAUUUGGUUACAUAAAUUAAACAAAAUUUUCUAUAGAAGCUACUGCCUAUAUCGAACAACAAAAUUUUCUAUAGAAGCUACUGCCAUCGAAGAUCGAUGCUCAAUUGUUCAUACCUAAUAAUGGCUUUGUAGCCCUAUAAUAGUACACAUUCUACUACAUCCAUCUUCCCAUCUUCAUUGACAUCAUUUUCCUCUUCUUGUGUGCUUUAUGCUUUUCUGCAAUCCUCAGCUUCCUCUUGGCAUUUCUCAUUGGAUUAACCACAGCAAUGACCUUCUCUUCUUGUUUCCUCUUAUCCCUCUUCGAUUUGAUAUUCUUCCUUAUAUGACUGUAAAUUUGGACAAAAAUAUGUGUUCCUAUAACAUUGCUUAUGCUCCCUCGCACUCCUUCAGCCAGUUGUUUCACGUCGUCUGUGGAGAUGAUGCAAACGUAAUCAUCAAAUAUAUUAAGGACUACAAAGUUUAAUCACUCGGAAGCCAAAGAGGAAGUGAAGAACAUUUGUAAAUGCAGCUAGCACUUUGCAUAUAUGAUAGUAUGGACAGACACUUGAAACAAUAAGUUUGCAAGAGAUUGAAUGAGAGACCAUACCUGAUAUAACUUUUCCGGCAAAUCCUUCACAAACUUUGUACAGGGGCAACAGCAUAUGAUAUGCAAAGCUUUGGCAAUCAACCUCACCUUCAGGGGACAACAAUCUACUCUGAUCUAUAAGCUUUGGUGAAACUGAUUUGAAACAAUUGAAGAUAAUUCUCAUCUGCAAAAAAUUGUGCACAUUCCACAGCAUGAGAACAGGCACUCCUAGCACUAUAUAUGGGAGACUAAGGCCCAAAAUAUUUUUUUUGGAAAAACAACGAGAAGGUAAAUUACAUAGCAAUGACUAGGCUAAGAAAUUUUUUGCGAGUCGAGCAAACAGAGAUAUCCUUAAUUAAUCACCCACCUGCAUAUCCUCCACAUGAAGGGAAAUCUUUCCCAUUGUCUUAAGCAAAUAAGAAAUGACCAAGUAGCGCUGGCCUUCAUCUUCUUGAUCGCUAAGGUCAGACACAAGAGACAGAUAGAUGUUUUUCCCUUUCCUUGAAUCAAGCUGUUGAAAAGCCUUAAGCAGAAGACCCUGCUCGUCAUGUUCAAUGGUGGACCAGAACUCAUCUUUACAUUCAUUUUUUCCUAAGAAUGAAUGCAGAGAGCAAAUUGAAAAGACAAGAUUUUGAGUAAUGAGAUCACUGGCAGCAUCAUCAGUCUGCAGCACCUUCAGCUGACAACAAAGAGAAGUAGCUACGAAGAAAAGUCUACUUGGCCUCAUCAAAAAGUAAGUUUCUUGUGGCAGUUCAAGGUUUUCUUUCCAAGCCUCAGUCACAGUGGCAAAGUAGCAAGCCACAAGACGGUUUGAUAUGUUGCGCAACCACAGAUGCGGAUGCAAAAGCAACUCACAGAUUGCUUCCCACAGAUCCUAUGAGAUGUCAAUAAAAAUAAUAGUCAGAAAACAAAUAUGAAUUUAUCCAAAGAACAGGACAAGUUAUUGGCAAUCUGGAAAUGGGAGUGUGGUAGCUGUGGAGCGUACUUUCCCCAGUACAACAAUAACAUACCUAGUGAAAUCCCACUAAGUGGGGUCAGGGAAGGGUAGAGUGUACGCAAUCCUUACCACUACCUCGUGGAGGUAGAGAGGUUGUUUCCCUAGUCUCAAGUGCAUCAAACCAAAGUAAAAGUAUCCUCUUCAAACUUUAAGCCCAGUAUACUAUUCAAACUCUAAGCACUUGAAUUUCAAAUACUUCUUAACUUUACACCUAGUCUGUAGUUGCAAACUAUCUUUUGGCAUGCUGCCUAAGUUUGAGGACCAAAGCAAUUUCACCGAAGUGGUUUUAGCCACACCAAAAAGUAAUUCAUUUCAUAAAUCUAUCACAAAGCAAAAUGAGGUCCAGUGGUUUUCACACAAGUCCCCUCGUACAUAUGCUAAGUUGGACAUAUUAUGGAUGACUUGGUUUUAGCUCUCCUAUAUUUUAAGACCAUAGCUAAAACAAUGAAAUACAGCAGCACUAGCACUAAUGAAAUAAAGGAUAGAGAGAGAAAAUAUAGUAAUUUUUUUCUUUCUACAGAGACUAAUAUCCAUUCUAUAGAGGAUAGAUAUAGAAGAUAUUUUAUCUUUUUAAAUUCUACAAAAACAAACAUCCAAUAUGUGCUAUAGAGUAUCAAAACAAUGUCUCAAAGGCAAUUCAACCAGUUAUGAAUAUCCAUUAGCUCCAUUUUAUCCCAAUAGAAUAAGUCUGGAUGGCAGGCAAAUCUUAUAAAUGUUCAUAUGUUGUUGUUGUUGUCUUAUUUACAGAAGUAAUCAGUUAGUACCUAGUAGUAGUCACUUUAAUUUCUAACAUAGGAUUAAAAGAAAGGAAUAAAUACCUCAAGAUCCUUUCUGAAGCACAACUUAGGAAAUUGAUUUAAUAUCUUCUCAAACAGAACCAGUGAAUAAUAUGCUUCUUUCCAAGAUGAAAUCGUUGCAUCAUUCGGUAGAUCCACUUGCUUAUUUGUAAGAACAUUAACAGCAGAUUGCAAGAUGUUUCUCAUAACAGGUAGGAGGCUAUCAAUAUACUUUUGGAAACCAUCUUUAAGUCCUUCAAUGAGUAACCCCAAAACCUGUAAAAGAAAUAAUGAAGUCUUGAAACAUGUUUUUCUAUUUUUUGAUGAGGAAGGAGUUAUAUCUCAGAUUCAUGACAAAAUAAUGACGUCAGUUUUUGUCCAUUCUUCCGGCUAUUUAAUUCAUAGUUCAUAUACAUAAACGAAUAUGAAAAAAGUGAAUGACAUAUGGAACUUGUAAUCCUUCUUCGGUAUUUCCAAACUUGCUCCACGAUGGCAUAAUGUAGUUGAAUAAAAGAACAGUUUGGGGUUUUCACUCGUUUACCUGUGCUGCAGCACUCCAUAAAUGUGGUUUAUCUCCCAGAUACCAGGACCGACUAAACUCAAGAAUUGACUGGAGUGAACGGGGGCUGACUCGUCCAACAAGUAACUUUAUGACUGUACCAGUCAUUGAACGGACUCUGUUGUCACGAUCAUUCGCCAGACAAACCACCAAAUGCAGAAAAAACGUCUGAGAUUGUUCAUCUAUGAUGCUAACUGGGAAUUUCAUUAUAACAGCAUGAAGCAUUUCAAGGAUAGCUUCUCUUCCAGUUGAAUGCUCAUAUCUGAAAAAUUCAAAAACAUCAUUACAGAGAUGUCACCAUCUAUAAAUUUUACCAAAUGAAAUUAUUGAUUGUGCCCUUAUGUCCUUGCCUUAAGUUUGAAAGUAAGAAAUCAAGAUGUUGUUGAAGACGUUUCUCAGAUAUAUGGUAGUCCAGUAAAAACUGCAGCAAAAUUUGGCUGCUUUUCUUACGAAUUGAUUCAACUUGACUAGUCACCAUCAACACUGCAAGAUUUCUGCAACUACCAACUUCCUACUCACUAUUGCUUUCAACAGUGAGAGAGCCACAAAAGAGGGAUUUCUUUCAAGAUCAACAAAAAGAGGAAACUGGAUUAGCAUAUGCAGUUGAUCAGUAGAAAGUGUGAUCUUAGUGCUACGCAAAAGCACAGUUAGCAACUUAACGCAAGACUCCAAUAAUGGAUUACUGGAAGUUACUGAACCUUGAGCAAUAUUCAGUAAUGAAUUCUUUAUCUUCUCUGCCUGAGAUUCAAGAGAUGGCAAAGGGAGCCUCACCAGAGGAGAUAAGCACCUAAGUGAGGCAGACAUGACAUUCUCAUAUUUUGAGUUUAAGCAUUCACCCAAUAAUCUUACAAAUGGAUCUAGCAUUGACAACAACUGCUCAUCUUUCUUGUCAAAUUUCAUGUUCUUCAUGUAAUUCUGAAGCACUCCAAGAGCAAAUUCAGUAAUAAGAUGGGAAUAUCGUGGAUCAACGCUGACCAACUUAUCUGAUUUAGCAAUCUGGCUGCUUACUCCAUCUUUCUUUUGCUUACCUUCCAUUAAAGUCGAUGUCUCUGCAUGCCCUGGAGAUUCAUCUUUUAUGCCAUCUUUGAUCAGACCAUAUUCAUAGAUAAAGAGUUCUGUCUGGUUAACGGAAGGAUUACACUGUAUUCCAGCAGCUAUAUGAGAGAACAUAUUCUCAAAUUUUGAUUUUACUUUUGGAGUCAGCUGCUUCUGUAGAUGCUUAAGAAUUGGCGCAAGCAGCUUCAGAGCAUGUGUUUUGAAUGUGAUGCUUUGGGCAAUCAAUUUAAGGGUAUCAUAUGACUUCUGCUUCCUAGUCUCUUCCAUCUUUGAAGCAAUCUUCUCAACCUCUUUCUCCUCUGAAAUAUCACUAAGUAUAUCAUUUAUUGCAAUCGAGAGAAGAUCCUCUAAACAAAAAUCCAGCUUCCCACUACUGGGAUUUAGAAGAAAUUUUGAUAGUAGAAAAUUGAGAGUGAAUCCCAAAACAUGCAAUUCAAAUCCUCUCUUCAGAGUGCCUCUCAAGACUUUGACAACAAAUUGCAAGUACUCCAGCCCUAGUUCUUUUAAACAAGCAGCCAAAGCAGCUCUGGCUUCAUCACGAACACUUUCCAAACGAUUCUUAAGGAAAUUCGCUAUGCGAUGCAUCAUAGAUGGAAGGUGCGAUUCCAUGAUGUCUCCCGAAAUUCCGCAAUAACACCUUUUGUUUAUCUGGUUUCAGUGUCAUCUCCCGAAAGCAUCUAUUGAGUAAUGCAUAAUACAAUCUCCAGUCCAUGAAUUUAGAAAUUGAUCCAACAGCUUCCAAACAUGCACUUCUAAUAUUUUCACCCUUUCCAACUUGUCCAUCAACCAACAUUUUAAAGAGAAGAGGGAUAAACACUUUAUUUAUGAGAACCUGCACCAGAAUUAUUCCCAACUAUUAGUACAGCUUAGCAACACAGAGCACAAAUUGAUGCUUAAAGAAAAAGGCAAGUAACCACCUUAGACAGAUUCCCGGAAUAUGUAACUCAUCGAUUUUAAGCACCCUCAAAUUUUUCAUUUUCUUAAAUGUCUUGGUGCUCAGGUUCGCGCCUUUUAAUUCCCCUGGAUCUACCACCAGUACUUCUACUUUUUCGGAACCCUGUAGUUUCAGCACAUAUUAAUUGAACAAAAGCAAUUAUAAGCAAAUAUUUAUCAAAUUAUUGAAAAAAAUUAAAAUCACGAAAGAUAAAGAAUCUACUGACUAUAUUUCCUUGUGGAACAUCUCGGACUUCUUGAGGUUUGAACAAUCUACUCUGUUUUCCAGAGUCUCAAGGUGAUUCCAUACGAACAAUUUCUCUUCCCAUAUCUCGCACUAGAUCAUGCAUCAUCAAAUAACGCCAAUCCCUUUAGAGCAAGUUCCUUUGGACUAAGGUUGAAAUUGCACUUUCAGAAUAAAAACCACACGCAUUUAAUGUUUUGAUAACUUCAUCCUCAAAAAAUCCAUGGAAGGCACACACGAUAUCAAGGAAAACACUUUGAGUAUCACAAUCAAGUCCGUCAAAGUUUAUCUUGAGGAUCUUUUGAAUAUCACAAUGAGGAAUUGCGUAUCUCCAUUCUUCUACGGAUCUCCCUUGUAAAUGUGACCCCAAUGUCACAAGAGCUAACGGUAGCCCACCUGAAUAUUUGAUUAUGCUUUGUGCAAGCUCAACAUAUUCUUGUGGCGGAGAAGGACUACUAAAAGCAUGACAAGAAAAAAGUUGUUGAGCUUCAUCUUGAUUUAAAAGUUUUGCCUUGUAUCUUUCAUUUUCUCUAAUCCGAGAUAACAAAUGCUUGUCUCGGGUUGUAACAAUUAUUAAACUACCAGAGCUAAACAAACUUCUGUCUCUUGUUAAGGAUUCUAAUUGGCUCAUAUGAUCCACUCCAUCAAGAAUAAUUAGAACCUUCUUUGACCCAGGUCUUGCUUUGAUUAGAUUGACGCCUUAGCAACACUACUAACUUUGACGUCCUUAGUUUUGAGAACUUGAUUUAGUAGUUUUUCUUGUAACGUGACUUGACCAAAUGCUUCAGCUUCUAAUCUAACAUCUGAAAGGAAGCAACUACUAUCAAAUUGUCGAAAUAUUUGAUUGUAGAUAGCUUUAGCCAGAGUUGUUUUCCCUAUUCCACCUACGCCCAUAUAUACCAACCAUACGAACUUCAUCUGCACUUCCUUUUGGAGUAACAACUCUAUAUCUUCGACACGAGAAUCUACUCCAACAGGGUGCCAAGAAACAUCUAGAGGUGUCUGGUUUACCUCUUGUAGAACUUGUUUUACAAUACUUUCAAUAAAUUUUGAUUCAUGUCUGUAUAUUACCAAAAACAACAGUUAGAAUUAAAAAAAAAAACAACUUUGAUAUGUGGAAAAAAAAUAAUUGAUAACCAACUUAUGACUUUUGACUGAUAAGUCAGUGUGACCAGCUUAUAAAUAUUACCCGUCAACAACAUUUGCAAAUCCCAUCCAGAUAAAUUUGCAGUUUCAGUAAGUGAAUCCGUCCAUUUUUUCAUUCUCUCAACCUCGAAUGAUCGUUCCUUAAGCAUAGCCAAAGCUUCACCAAAGCAUCCGGUUUGCUUGCGUACAUGAAAAGGAUGAACAUCAUAGAAAAUAGUCAAAACUAUUUGCUUUAACUUCUCUUUGCAUUCAAGAAUUUUAACAAGUUCAUCAAGACACCAACUAAACGAAGCAUAAUUUUUCGAGAAAACAACAAUGGAAACUCUAGAUUCUUCAAUUGCUUUCUCAAGUUCUGUUGAAAUCACCUUACCUUUUCUUAAUUCCUCGUCAUCUAUGAAGGUAUUAAUUCUGACUUGACAUAAUCUAGAAUAAAGAUGACCUGUGAAGGUUUUUCGAGUAUCUUCACCUCUGAAACUCAGAAACACAUCAUAAGAGAAGUUGGAAGAAGUAGUUGAUGAUUCUCCUACAACAAAUUGAGUAUUCAUAUUUGAUGUGAAUAAAUGGAAGAAUGAGUAGCUAUAUAUAUAAUAUACCAUGCACAUUCUAUGGUUUUUUCUUGGUAACUUAACUAAUGCUAUAUAUUCUUUAAUUUAUUUUGUACAAUUAUUCUUCAUUAAAUUUUGUUAAUUGGGAUUUUUUUUAAAUUGAUUCUUUACCUUUUGUCUCAUCUUUAAUUUGUUAAAGACUUGAAUGAUAAAAAUUUAAAGUAAGAUUCUUUCUUCCUUAACAACUCAAAAGUUCAUCUCUCCACAUAAUUAUGAUGAUGUUAAGCUUGAUGUCAUAAUCUUUUAAUAAUGGAAUUGAAAACAUCGAUUUGUUCUCAAUUCACAAGUUGGAUUAAACGUUUUUUUUCUUUCUUUUUACCUAAGUAUCACAUAAAUUAUAACGAUAAUUUUUUAAAAGAAAAACAAUUUGUAUUAAUAGUAAAAACUAGGAAACUUUGUCGUAAUAAAGCUAACUACUAGUCUAUUGCAACUAUUAAACAACUAGAGCUAUCAAUAUGGGCUGACCCAUCCCAUCCGGGUUAAUCUAUACAGGUUUUGAAAUAUGACGGGUUAGGCCGGGCUAGCCCAUUUUUGGUGUGGGCCAGAAAAUGGUCGGUCCAACCCACAAGUACGUGGGCUAGGGGCUUGUCGGGCCAGCCCUCUUUUCGUAAAAGUAUAUUUUUUAUAAUUUUUUAAAUUAAAUUAUAAUUUAAAAAUAUUAUCAUAAAUAUCGACAAGAUAGUAUUACACGGUGUUAGUGUUGACACCUAAUUUUGACCCUCCACAAUAAGAAUUAAUUUGUGAGCUUUCUUAAUUCCAAACGAUUUGAAAUAACUAAUUUUAUAAAAAUUCAAAAUAUGUUUCAAAGAUAUUUUAGGAAUUUUAUUCACUUUUAUAAUAUUUUAAAUAAUAAAUAUGUUUUAUAUUGUUACGUAUGUAACUAAUAUAUUUUAUAAACACUUGAAAAAUAUCUUGAAAAAGAUUUUUUUUUUUUUAUUAUUAUUAUCAUUUAUUUUUAACGUUAAACACUUUACUAAUUUAAUUUAGUUUGAAUUAUAGGUAUGUUUUUGAAUUAAUUAGUUUGAUUGAGUUAAUUAUUUUUUAGUUUGUUAAAUUUAAGAAGCUUGUUAAUUGAUCUUGUUUAAAUUCAUCUCAUUUAGCUUUUGCCGAAUUUGCUAAUUAAAUCCGAUUUAGCUAACUUCCUAAUUCCCAUUAGGUCAUAAUUGCUUCCAUGUGGCUUAAGCCAAUUUAAAUCUCACUUGGACCAAAUCUAAGAUCAGACUUGGGCAUGUCCUCAAUUUCCAAUUCCCAAGCUCAUUUCCCCUUUGGUUUCCAAUUAAGCCGAGCCCAACCCAUCCUUCUCCAAAUUUCCCGACCCAAUCCAACACAACUGACCCGACCCGGCCCAUUCCAACUCUAAAAGAAACUCAAAUGUCCUUCUCUUUUCCAAGGUCCCAGAAGCAGUUCCAAACGUUCACAGACCGACAAAGCAACAGCAGUCCACGGCAUCCUCACGAUGAGAGACGAUUCCAAAGGAAUCAACACGGAAUAUUCGAAUCACAAUAACCAACGACGUCAAUUCCGAUACACGGCGUGAAAGCAUGGAGAUACACGCAAGCAGUGAGGAACGAGACGGACAGAGGGCAGUACUAUUCCUUGUCUUCUUCCUCCAAUGUCUCUCUCAACCAGUACUAUGGCAGUAGCACGCGGUUUUCACCUUUCCUCUUUCGGAAUGGGGCGAAAACCUCAGAAGAAGGGUGUGUGUCCGAAUUUGUGAAAGGUUUUUGGAAUUCAAAUUUAUGGGACUUGAAUCCGAAAUUGCAUUUGUCCUUUCCCCCCACAAUCUACCCUAAUUUUCCCAUAUAUAAUCAUCUCUUCUAUUAAGUCUUAAGAAGUCAUUAAGUCGGUUAGUUAGCUCAUUAAUUUAAUAGUCAGUUAGUUAGUUAUUAAAAUCUGUUGUAACUAACUACACUGCUUGUAACUAACUACACUGCAGAAAGCCAGCUAAGGCAUCGUGUAUAAAUAGACAUUCAAUUGUCAUUGUUGACACAAGAAAUAAAAUUCCUUUCUAUCCUUUGUUCAAAGUGCUCUCAAUUCAAUUGUUCAUCAUCUGUGAUUGAUGAAAGUUAACAUGGUAUCAGAGCAGUGAUCAUAAGGGAUUGAUCUGCGUAGAAGAGAAGAACCCAGAGGUGCUGAGAAGCUGUAGAAGAAGCUCCUGAAACAAGCAUCAAUGGGGACUAAUGAAGUUACAGAUCUAAGUACAACAAUAGGAACAAAUGAGAUUACAACUCUAAAUCACAAUCACCCGCUUUAUCUCCAAGCUUCAGAUGCACCUGGAGUAGUUCUGGUUCCAAUCAAAUUAACAGGGCCAGAAAAUUACGCUUUAUGGAGCCGAUCGAUGAAAUUGGCUCUUAGAGGAAAAGGGAAACUUGGAUUCAUUGAUGGAUCUUGUGCGAAGACAACUUAUAAAGGAGGAUUAGAGGAACAAUGGGAGAAGUGCAAUGCAAUAGUACUGUCAUGGAUUGCGAGCACAGUUACGAGUGAAUUACUGCCAGGGAUUAUAUACGCUUCAAAUGCUAAGAGAGUUUGGGAAGAUUUUCAGGAGAGAUUUGAUAGAUCAGAUCUCACUAGAAUUUACCAUUUGUGGUCAGAAAUUGCAGCUCUCAAACAAGGUACUGAUUCUGUGACCUCUUACUACUCGAAAUUGAGAGAUUUAUGGGCUGAAUUAGAAGUAAUGGUUCCAUCACCUGGUUGUACAUGUGCGGAUUCAACUUCUUAUAUGGAGCAUUUAAGAUCUCAGAAACUGUUGCAAUUCUUAAUGGGAUUGAAUGAGAGUUUUGGACAUAUCCGGAGUAGCAUUCUAGCUAGGAAGCCUGUAGUGACAGUAAAUGAAGCAUAUGCAGUUGCAGCACAAGAAGAAAGUCAAAGAGUCCUAGGUGUUUUGGAUAAAAGCAGGGAUCCGUUAACACUUUUAGCAGGGAAAACUCAAGGAUAUAGAUCAAAGCCAAAGAAGUUUGUGCCACCAGGAACAAUUUGCGAUCAUUGUGGUUUCAAAGGCCAUUUCAAGGGUGAUUGUUAUAGGUUGGUAGGGUAUCCACCAGAUUUUCAAAGCAAGAGAAGAGGACCUGAUGGUUUUAAGCCAGAUUUCAAGCCAAAUGCACACUUAAGUAAGAAUACUGAUGAUCUCACCAACAGAGGAAAGCUUACUGAAAAUUAGGGGUCAUCAUCUCAAUAUGAGGAUUUGGGAAACAAAGUGGGUCGAGCAGGAAUAUCAGGAUGUGUUGCUAACUUGUCAGGUAUGAAUUCUUUAGAUUUCAAAACAGACACAGUUUAUGAGUGGAUAAUUGAUAGUGGAGCUACACAUCAUAUUACACCUAAUGAGGAGUUAUUAAUUGCCAAUAAAAGAACACAUAAUAGUGUUGGAGUUCAAGUUCCAACAGGGAAGAGGUGUGACAUCAAGAGUAUUGGAGUUGUGAAGAUUUUAGAAGGGGAAGAACUUCAGAAUGUGUUGUAUGUGCCAGAUUUCAAAUUUAGCUUGUUAUCAGUUGCAAAGCUAACCAGGGAACUUGCUUGUUCAGUUUCUUUCUAUCCUGACUAUUGUAUAUUUCAGGGACUUUACAAUGGCAAGGUAUUGGGGAUUGGUAAAGAAAAGGAAGGACUAUACAUACUAGAGAAUCAACUAAGGUCAAUAGUUCAUGCUGUGACUGUUGACAAGGGGAAUGGAGAUACAAAGCUAUGGCACUUAAGGCUAGGACAUGCUUCACCUGGAGUUCUAAAACACAUCCAGUCUUUGAAACAUCUCUCAAAUAAAGAGGUGCAACAUAACUGUGAGAUAUGUCCUUUAGCAAAGCAAUGUAGAUUGAAAUUUCCUAUUAGUACAAGUAAAACAUUUGGAGUUUUUGAACUGGUUCAUGUAGAUGUUUGGGGACCAUAUAGAAAGCCUACUUUUGACAAGAAAUAUUAUUUUGUUACUAUAGUAGAUGACUAUAGCAGGUACACAUGGUUAUGUCUCAUUCAUUCCAAGAGUGAAGUCAUUGUAGUACUCAAAGAUUUCAUUGCUUUAAUAAAAAAUCAGUUUGGCUUGUCUGUGAAAGCUUUAAGGUCUGAUGAUGGUACCGAAUUUUUCAGUUCAUCAGUUGUUGAUUUACUUGCUUCAUGUGGUAUUGUACAUCAAAGUAGUUGCGUUUAUACCCCACAACAGAAUGGUACAGUAGAAAGGAAACACAGACAUAUCUUGGAAGUUGCAAGGGCUUUAAAGUUUCAAAGCUCUCUUCCUAUUCAUUUUUGGGGUGAGUGUGUUAGGACUGCUGUGUACUUGAUAAAUAAAUUGCCUACUGAAGUGCUGGGAGGGAGAUCACCUUAUGAGAUGCUACAUCAGAAAAUACCUGGUAUUGAUCAUUUAAGAGUGUUUGGUUGCCUAUGCUAUGCAACUAGGUUGCCUAAAGGAGAUAAGUUUGCCCCUAGAGCUAGAAAGUCAGUUUUUCUAGGAUAUUCUGAAGUUCAAAAGGGUUACAGAUUAUAUGAUUUAAUUGAGCAGACAUUCUUUGUGAGCAGAGAUGUGGUCUUCAAAGAGAAUAUUUUUCCUUAUCAAACAGAUACAUUGUCUCCUGAGUCAGACAUGUUUGAGUUAAAUAGCUCAGAAUUGAGUCAUGUAUAUUCAAAUGAGGAUGUGGUGUUCGAUACAACAGUGGUUGAACCAUCUGUCUGUGGUAUUGAACCACCCGAGGUUGAUGCAGUUCCUGAUGUUGUCACUGCAGUCACAGAGGAUAGUGAUUCACUAUAUGAAGGGAAUCCAAUCUCAUCACCAGAUAUACAACCUGUCAUUAUUCCAUAAACACAUGUCAGACCUCCCAGAAACAUCAAACCACCUAGUUGGCUUGAUGACUACAUUACUAAUCCUAAGAAAUCUGCCAAUUGUACAUAUCCCAUCUCAAAUUACCUUCAAUAUUCUCAUCUGUCAGCAGCUUACCAAGCCUAUUUAGGUACUUUUUCUCAACCAGUUGAGCCUAAAUCCUUCAAGGAAGCAUCUUUAGAUGACAGGUGGGUCGCAGCUAUGAGUGAUGAAAUUGCUGCCCUUGAGAGCAAUCACACCUGGGAUAUAGUCGAUUUGCCACCAGGUAAACAAGCCAUUGGUUCUAAGUGGGUAUUCAAGAUCAAACACAAUGCUGAUGGAUCUAUAGACAAGUACAAGGCAAGGUUGGUAGCUAAGGGGUACAAUCAAAAGGAGGGGUUAGACUAUCAUGAGACUUUCUCACCAGUUGCCAAAAUGGUAACAGUGAGAACUCUCAUUACAAUUGCAGCUUCCAAAGAUUGGCCUCUCAUUCAGAUGGAUGUUAACAAUGCAUUCCUACAAGGUGAUUUAUAUGAAGAGGUUUAUAUGGCUUUGCCACAAGGGUUUCACAGACAGGGGGAGACUAAAGUAUGCAAACUGACCAAGUCUUUAUAUGGAUUAAAGCAGGCCUCUAGACAAUGGAAUAUUAAAUUGUCUACUGCUCUACUGGAAACAGGCUAUGUUCAGAAUUCACAUGAUCAUUCCUUGUUCACAAAACAUUCAGGAGAUGAUAUAGUGAUGAUCCUUGUAUAUGUUGAUGAUUUGUUAAUUACAGGAAACAGUCAAAGUUUGAUUGAGGAUGCUCAAAAGACUCUACACAACAAAUUUAAAGUGAAAGACUUGGGGCAACUUAGAUACUUCCUAGGAAUUGAGAUAUUGAGAUCAGAUAAGGGAAUCUUACUCAAUCAGAGAAAGUACACCUUGGAACUGCUGUCCACAGUGGGGUUAGGUGGUGCUAAGCCAGUUUUUACUCCUAUGGAGAUGAACACAAAGCUUACUACAAUAGAGUAUGACUCAAUGGUUGGAAAUAAAGAUGAUCCUGUACUAACUGAUGUACAUAGCUAUCAACAGUUGAUAGGGAAGCUGAUUUACUUAACAAUCACCAGGCCAGACAUUUGUUUUGCAGUACAGGUCCUAAGUCAAUUUAUGCAACAUCCCAAGAAGUCACAUUGGGAUGCAGCACUAAGAGUCCUUAGAUACCUGAAGGGAUCACCAGGACAAGGAGUAUUAUUGAAGAAAGGACCAAUUACAAACUUGACAGCCUUCUGUGAUUCAGACUGGGCUGCAUGCCCCAAUACUAGGAGAUCAGUAACAGGAUAUGUUAUUAUGCUUGGAGAGUCUAUGGUCUCAUGGAAAUCAAAGAAGCAACAUACAGUGAGUAGGAGCUCAGCUGAGGCUGAGUACAGAAGUAUGGCAGGGGCAGUAUCAGAAAUUAUUUGGUUAGUUGGUUUACUGAAAGAUCUGAAAAUAGAUGUCACUACUCCAGUCAGGUUGUGUUGUGAUAGCAAAGCAGCUAUGCAAAUUGCUUCAAACCCAAUCUUUCAUGAAAGGACUAAGCAUAUUGAAAUAGAUUGUCAUUUUGUGAGAGAGAAGCUCAAAGAUGGCCUAAUCAAACCAGAGUUUGUUGGCACUAAAUCUCAGUUGGCAGACUUGCUUACAAAAGGCUUAGGAACAGUACAACAUCAUUUUCUUCUGUCCAAGUUAGGAGUUCUUGAUGUUUUCCAUCCUAGCUUGAGGGGGAGUAUUAAGUCUUAAGAAGUCAUUAAGUCGGUUAGUUAGCUCAUUAAUUGAAUAGUCAGUUAGUUAGUUAUUAAAAUCUGUUGUAACUAACUACACUGCUUGUAACUAACUACACUGCAGAAAGCCAGCUAAGGCAUCGUGUAUAAAUAGACAUUCAAUUGUCAUUGUUGACACAAGAAAUAAAAUUCCUUUCUAUCCUUUGUUCAAAGUGCUCUCAAUUCAAUUGUUCAUCAUCUGUGAUUGAUGAAAGUUAACAUCUUCUAUUCAUUGUAGAGGGGGGGAUUUUUUUUUUUGGAGUUGAAAAUUUUAGAAAAAGAAACAUUGAGAAGUAGCGAGAAAGCAAGAAGAAAAUAUUGGAGAAAAGUGGGGAGUUUUUCUUGAGCGAUUUUUACACUUGAGAAAUUUGGAAUACAUUUUAGUUUUUGGUUUGUAAGAGCCUUUGCUCGAAGUCAGUUCGGAUAUCCCGAUUGUUUGCUCGAUUUUUUGAAGUGGUGUAAGAGGUCGCCGCUCGUUUCGGCUCGUUCUGUCUCGGCUUCGUUGCACCUUUAAAGGUAACACCUCUUUCUUUGUAUGAUUUUUCUUCCUUUAUAUUUUAAGAUGGUGUUUUACUUGUAUCCUGGAAGUUUGCUUCCUGCUGAUAGUUAUUAAGUUCUUGACGUUCUGAUACACCUUAGUUGCGAUACUCUAGUUAUUUCGAGUAUCGUUUUCGAUCUUGUUGAUUCGUGCCUAGAUUUGCUGCUUCUUUGUUGGUUUUAUUUAAGGGUGUUUCACUAAUCUUUUCUUGAAUUUAUUGGUUUGAAUUCCACCGAGCAUGUAUGCUUCGUUUCACUCGUUCAUUAACGUCAGCAUCUGUAGGCUCUCCCUUUGCUGCUUGCCUUUGCUUAACCUGUUCAACAAGUAUGUUUGUCCAGUUUAGCGAUUGAUUGAGAGUGUUCAAUGUCUAUUGCUGUUUUUGAAGUAAAAUUGCAGCUUUGCAUCGGGUUAUUUAAGUAUCGGCUAAUCGUCCUAUGUUUUUGAGGCAUAGUAAUUAAUUUUCUUGCAUGUUGCCGCUAAUUAAAAUUGCAAUGGCUCUUCUAUCUUUGUCUAAAUCUAAAGAUGUCUCCUGAUGUUGGCUCGCCAUCUAUCUUGGCCAUUUACGUGUUUCUUUGCUUAAUAAUGCCCCUUUUCUCUGCAUUUUUCUUGUAUUUAUUCAUGUCUACUCGUGUUUGUGUCCGGCAUGCUCUUUAUCCCUUAAUGAUCUCAUCACUGGCUCCCCAACUUGUUUGGAAUUUGAUCCCGCCAUCAGUAAUUAAUUUUGUUUUCUGUACUGAAAGUCCCGGGUGACAAUUACUUAAGAAUGUGGAGAAUGACAGCCUUUAUUGUGCUAUUAGUCUCCUCGUCUGCAAUAAGUUGAUUUUUUCAGCUAAAAGUAGUAUUGUUGAGAUAAAUAUUUAACAAAGAUUCCGACUUGUUCAUCUUAUGUCUAAAAAACAAUAAUCAUAUCCCUUGGCUGAUUCACGUGUUUCCCGAAGUGUGCUAAGUAAUGAGUUGUUUCGGUCUCAAAUGUAUAUCCUGGCUGCCGUAGUUGCCAAAUUGGACUUUAGUAAUUUCAUGUUGUCUUUUUCCUUUGGUCUACAAUUUAAAAUUUAAUUAUUAUUUUUUCUAUGUGUCCACACUUGCCUAUUUCAACUACUGGUAAUUUGCUAAAAAAUGGAGUGAGUCGGAGGCAAUAGUAUAAGCGUGAGGAGUCUGGUCAUCUCGGCUUGCUCUUGGUUUUUCUUUUCAUGUAUUUGCAUUUUUUGUUCACAGCUACUGCUAGUUGCUUGCAAUAUAAAUGGGUUAUGUUCCUUUUGAUACGUUCAUCAUUUAGUGACUAGUUCUGAGAUGUUAUUACUGGUUACUGAUUCUCUUGUUCUUUUCUUCGUUUUGCAUGAAAAAUCUGUCUGAGUUCAUUACGAACUCCUAUCUUCCCUCUUGCAUUUUGGGAGAGCCGCAAAGGCUCAAAAACUCCCUUUAUCGAGUUAGCCGGCCACUAAAAUCAAAGAACAAGUCCCUCAAAUCGACGAACAGGUCCCAAAGGUGGGGAAAUGCGGAAGCGGAGGAUAAUUGAAAAGAUCGGGCCAAAGGCCCACUCUUUAUAUAAAGAGGAUUGUAUUUUUUAUUUAUUAGGCCUAAGUCCAGUUAUUUGCUAUUAUAUUGUUAGAAUUUAGGACAGGUGGCGAGAAUUGGGCCUUGUGGCCCAAAAUGAAAUUAGGCCCAAGUGUUGGUCCAGGCGGACAGAAAAAUCAAACUUGGGCCCGAGUCUCUUUCCCUUUCUAUUUUAUUGUGUUUAUCUACUAGUUAAUAUUUGCCAUUAAUCUUAAGAUUAACAAUUCAAAUCCCCAAAAGACGCUCAUUUUCGCUUUAAAUCUUUUUUACUAAACCAUUCAUCUCUUAACAAGACUUAAAGAAAUAAUUUUAUAAGAUAACCACUCAGAUAAUAUUUAAAUAUUUCCCUUUUUUCCUUUUUAAAAAAAAAAUAGCUCUAACUAUAAAAUAGUUCAAUCAUGUUAUUCGAAUUAAGUUAAAGUAUUUUUAGCCAAAUAAUUAAUUGUCGGAUAACCGCUUAUUAGCGGGGAUUUUGGGUGCUUUCAAAUCCUUUCUGAAAUGCUAAUAUGAACCUCGAACCCCCUUAAAUAUUUUUCAAUUGAUUUCCUGUUUUAAUCAUUUGAAAAUCAGAUUUCUUGAUUUUUCUUAAAAAUUAAGUGGCGACUUUUAAAAACAGUCUUAAAUUAUUUUAAAAUAAAACAGUUAGUGUUACUAUUUGUUAAUCAAAUCCACAAAUAAAAUUAUCUUUAUAUUAUUAAGUUUUAUUUCAAGUAAAAGCAUAAAUAGCUAAAUAAAAAUAUUAACCUAAUUAUUUUUCAAUAAUCAUAAUAAAAUAUAAAAACUAUGACAAUAUUCCAUAGGCUACGUAGUGAUUCCUAGAAAUUUUAGGAAAAUUUUAUUUUAUGUAAUACAUAUUUUAUAAACAUAAUUUAUAUUUAGAUUGUAAUAUUUCAAACUUUAGACUGAUUUUGAGUUUAGACUCUUGUUAUUUUUAAUACUCUAUUUAUUAUUUAUUUUUAAUUAAUUUUUAUUUGGCUCACGGGUUGGCCCCCUAUCCAUAUUUCUCAAGCCCCUCAAAUUGGCAGACUUAUUCAGGCCAGGCUAAAAAAUCACCUUUUUCUUAAAUGGGCUCCAAAAAUCAUAGCCCAACCCUAUCAAAUCACGGGUUAGGCUAGGCCGGCCCAACGGGCCUAGCCCAUAUUGACGGCUCUAUAAACAACUAAUAAAACUAAUUGGAUCAUUCUUACUGCACCAUUGGUCCUAAUCCUAUACCUAUCAUACUGAUAUAGAGGCGAAUUCAGAACUUAAAAUUUAUGAAUUCUUAUAAAAAAAAAACUAAAAUUUAUGAACGAUAUAAUUGAGUUCAUAAUCAAAUUAUACUAAAUACUUAAUGAUUUUCUUAGUACAUAUAAAUAAUAUGAAUAAAAUCUAUUGAGUUCACACUAACCUCUCUAUAGUGUGGCAGGUAAAAUCAAUAAUUUUGAUCCAAAUUGUACUUUGUAUUUAUGAUAAUAAAUUUGUUUGUUAUGUGUAAAAAAAUAUUCGGAACCCAAUCCGACCAGUAAACGCCAGUAGUAGUCAUAGUAUUUGGAACAAAGAAAAGCAAGGGAAUAACAAACCAUAUCUUCUGCUCCAACUUCAUUUUCUUAUAGUAUUUUUGGAGGGAAAAAAGGGAAUACAAAUUAAAUAUUAUCAGAAUGCCAACCAAAUACUGACAUUGUGCUCUAUCUUUACUGUGGAAAAAAAUUAAAUGUAAUUUAUUUAUGCAGUUUUUUAAUCUUCCAGGGGUCCCAUUUUUCUAUAGAUUGAAUUAUCUUUAAUAUUUUAUGACAAAAUACUGUAAAGUGGUGUAUAGUGGCAUAUAUAUAUACCAUUUGUAUAUUCCUCAAAAUCAUGAUAAUACCAUUUGUUUCUAACUUUUUAAUUGUACUAAUUGAAUAGAUUAACUGUACAAUAUACUUUUGUUUAGUUCAAAAUUUUCCUCUUUGUACUUUAAGCUUUGGUGUCUAUUGUUUUCCACAUUUUAUGAGGUGUUAGGACUAGCAAAAGGCAUAAUACAUAAACAUACAUUCAAACUAGGUCUUAGUUAGAGUGAUCAUUUAGACACCUCCAAAAUUUAUGUAUCACGUCAGUAUAGGGUGUCCACGAGACACAUUAAGGAUGAGUUGGAGUGUUUAGCUGUUAGUUGAGAUGUCUAGAUGUACAUUCUCAAUUAGUUACGGUUGCGAAAUUUUAAUUGGAUGACAAAACUAGGAUCGAAGUUUCGAGUGUUUGGCAUCUGACAGAUGAAAAAAAAAAUCUGAAAUUUAAGAACAAACUUUUUCUUACAUAACGAACACAUGAAAAUAAGUAAGAAACGUACUUAUUCUCCGGAAAAACAUUUUCCAAUAAGACAUUUUAGAGGCAUUGUUAUCAUUUGGUAGAUCCAGGUCCAUGACCUAUUUCUAUGGAACACAUUUUCCAUGGUACUGAACACACUCUCAGAACUUUGCUCGUUGAUAUCCACUAAUACGGACCUCACUUGUAGGAUUUCAUUGGAUAUGUUGUCGUUGUUUGAGUUGAUAUGCCCUGCUGAAAGUCUUUGUGGGUAGGAGGGAGUAUAAGAAUGAUCCACAACUCCCGGCAACGAUGUAACAUUACCAUGUUGGUCCAAGUAUAACAAAUGGAUCCCUAUUUUCUUUACUGUGCCUCUGCCAGUUUCAUUCUCUACUGUUAUCUGUUCCCCGCCUUUGAUAUUCAGGCCUUUAAAAGGUGUAUCAUUUGAGUAAGAGAAGUAAUAUACAUAUGAUACUUCGUGACUGUCAGAUCUAUCACAAGGCCAAAUCCAUGAAAAACCUGAACGCUUUAUAUGGGCAACAGUAACAGCGAAGUGUAUAAGCUCAUGUACAUCGCAAAGGCGGCAAACAAACCAGAGAACCAUUCCUAAGAACUUGUUAUUAUGUACUGUGGGCAUAGUCAAACAGAUAGAUGUAGCUGUUACUUUAUUGCUGCACCAAUCUGGAAUCUCAUUGCUUUCGUGAUUAAUUUGUAAUGACAGCUUCAUCAGACAAAUUAAGACGCAAUUAGAUCAUUAAUUAUUAAUAUGAUACGAGAGAUAGAUCAUUAAUUAUUAAUAUGAUACUAACCUCAUACCGUUGAUGUUUUCUAGACGGAAUUGAUAGAGCAUGGGCACUAAAGAAGCCUUCAUUGAAUGGAUUCUGCAGAAGAGUACAAUUAAUCAUGCCCAUCUUCUCUAUUGAAGGGAGGUUGUCCAACCCUGUAAUCUUGACCAGUUUUUGGCAAUUCCUAAGUUCAAGAGUUGUAAGGUACUUUAAAUUUGAUAUUGACGGGAGUGUUUGAAGGUUCUCACAAUCAUUCAAAUGCAAGGAACUCAACCGUGGUAACUUGGAAAAAUCAAAGGGUAGAUUGAGGAAACUGUUGCCGCUCAAAUCUAAAUCAUGUAAGUUGGAUAAACUCCCAAUAUCCCUAGGAACAUCAGCCUCCGAGAAACCACAAUAUCGAAGGCUUAACAUCGUAAUAAAAAUUGGCAAGAAUUCUACGCAGCGGACUCUUCUUUGAGAAAACCUCCUUUUGGUCUCCAAGUAUUGACCUCCUAAUUCCAAAAUUAUAAGAUUUCCUAGCAUUUCAACAGAUCCAGGCAAUUCUUUUAUACCUGUUUCACCUGCAUUAAGAAUACUUAGGCUUUGCAUAUCUCCAAUGUCAACUGGCAGUGUUUGUAAAGAUAAGCAGUCAUUAAUGUACAAGUAUUGAAGGGAUUUUAGCUGGCAUAUGCUGCUCGGAAGAUCCGUAAUCUUUUUGCAACCAUUCAAUUUAAGAUCAGUUAGUCUGUCCAAAUUUCCUAUUGAUGGAUGAAUCUCCUUUAGACUUGAGCAAUUCUCAAGCCACAAAGUCUUGAGACUUCGUGAACCGUUGAAGUUUGGAGUUUUUCUAAGGCUCUUGCAAUCAGAGAGAUCCAGCUUUUUCAAAUUUCUACAAUACUAAAAGUAAACAAAAUAUUGUUUCAAUUAAGAUUUUCUUUCUCUUAAACAUUACACAUAAAAUUGCAGAAUUGAGUAACGGACCUGCAAAUUCAAACCAAAUUCUUGGAUAUUGCUCCCUUUCAUAUUCAGAAAUACAAGUUUCUCAGAUGGAAAAUUUGACGGUAUACAUUUUAAAGGACAUCCUUUCCAAGACAGCCAUCUGAGCUCCUUGGACAAUAGCUCAAAAUCUCCACUAAUAUGUAAGUCAUCAAUUUUAAGCACCCUAAGAUAUUUCAUUUUCUGAAAUGCUUUGGUGCUCACCUUCACACCCUUUAAUGCCUGUCGUUCUACCACCAGUAUUUCUACAUUUUCAGAACCCUGCAGUUUAGUAAAAAGAAAAGUACUAUAAGACCAUGUUUAAGUAUGAUAAAUUAAGAAAGAGAAAUGCUUUAUACAAAUUGAAGGUCAAACAAAGAGAAUAAAUUAUCUACCAAUAAAACUAAAUUCACACAUUAUAUCCAACUAAAGGAUAUUUAUUUGAUAAUUUUGUCUUUGAUAGUUUGAGUGUUUAGACUCCAGUAAAUGUUCAUUUCAAGUACAAAAUGGUUCAAACAUCGAGAGAUAAUUUACUUGCCGGAGAAGAAUUAAGCACAAAUGCAUAAAUUAUUAGCAAAUAUAUAUCAAUAUAAAUGAAAAAUGAAGAAGAAUAAGUAUUAACCAAGAUAAAGAUAAUGAAAUUUACUGACUUUAUUUCCUUGUAGAACAUCAAUGGCUUCUAGAGGGUUGAACAAUCUACUUCGUUUUCCAGGGUCUUGAGAUUCCAUGCGAACGAUUUCUCUUCCCAUUUCCUGCACUAGAUCAUGCAUCACCAAACCAGGCCGAUCCUCCCUUUGGAGCAAGUUCCUUUGGACUAAGGUUGAAAUUGCACUUUCAGAAUAAAAACCACACGCGUUUAAUGUUUUGGCAACUUCAUCCUCAUAACAACCAUGGAAGGCACAUGCGAUAUCAAGGAAAACACUCCGAGUAUUGACAUCAAGUCCAUCAAAGCUUAUCUUGAGAAUCUUUUGAAUAUCACCAUGAGGAAUUGCUUUUAGUUUUUUGAACUCGUAUCUCCAUUCUUUAACGGAUCUCCCUAGCAGAUGUGACCCCAAUGUCACAAGAGCUAAUGGUAGCCCAUAUGAAUAUUUUAUUAUGUCUUGUGCCAGUUUAACAUAUUCUUGUGGUGGAGAAAGACUGUUAAAAGCAUGGCAAUAAAAAAGUUGCUGAGCUUCAUUUUCAUUUAAAAGUUUGGCCUGGUAUAUCUCAGUUGUUGUAAGCCCAUACAACAAAUGCUCGUCUCGGGUUGUAAUAAUUAUUACACUACCAGAGCCAAACCAACUUCUUUCUCUUGUUAAGGAUUCUAAUUGGCUUCUAUGAUCCACGUCAUCAAGAACAAUUAGAACCUUCUGAGACCCAAGUCUUGCUUUGAUGAGAUUAACACCUUCAGCAACACUAUCAACUUCAAAUUCCUUAGUUUUGAGGAUUUGAUAAAGUAGUUUCUCUUGAAGCUUGACCAGACCCGAUUCUUCAGUUUUUGAUCUAAUGUCAGAAAGGAAGCAAGUACCAUCAAACCGUUGAAAUAUUCGAUUAUAGAUAGCUUUUGCCAAAGUUGUUUUUCCAAUUCCACCAACGCCACAUAUACCAACCAUGCGAACUUCAUGCUCACAUCCACUUUGCAGUAACACCUCUAUAUGUUUGAUAGGAGAAUCUAAUCCAAUUGGGUAAUGAGCAACAUCUAGAGGUGUCUGGUUAACCUCUUGCAGAACUUGUUUUAUAAUACCUUCAAUAAACUUUGAUUCAUGCCUACAGUUUUUGCAACAAUAAAUACUUAAGUAUUUUAAAAUAUUUGAUGAACAAAAUAAAAACCAAUAGCCAAAAGAUAACAAAGUUUAUAGAAUGGAGAUUAUCCCUUGUCCUAAUCUACAGUUUAAUUUGUCCUUAUCAUGUACUGUGGGCAUAGUGAAACAGAUAGAUGGAGCUGUCACUUUAUUGCUGCACCAAUCUGGAAUCUCAUUGCAUUCGACACAAAUUCGUAAAACUUGCUUCUUCAGAGUGUGAAAUGAUAGAGCCUGGGCACUAAAGAAGCCUUCAUUGAAUGGAUUCUGCAGAGAAGUACAAUUAAUCAUGUCCAUCUUCAUUAUAGAAGGGAGGUUGUCCAACCCUGUAAUCUUGACCAGUUUUUUGCAAUUCCUAAGUUCAAGAAUUUUAAGGUACUCUAAAUUUGAUAGUGACGGGAGUGUUUGAAGAUUCUCACAAUCAUUCAAACGCAGCUCUCUCAAGAAUCGAAACUUAGAAAAAUCACAGGGUAGACAAUGGAAACUGUUGCCACUCAAAUCUAAAGAUCUUAAGGAGGAUAAACUCCCAAUAUCCCUAGGAAUAUCAGCCUCCGAGAAACCACAAUAUGAAAGGCUUAGAUAUGAAAUAAAAAUUGGCAAGGAUUCUACGUGAUGGACUCUUCUUUGAGAAAAUCUCCUUUUGGCCUCUAAAUUUGGACCUCCCACUUGCAAAUUUAUAAGAUCUCUUAGCAUUUCAACAGAUCCGGGCAAUUGCUUUAUACCUGUAUCAAGUGCAAAAAGAUAUCUUAGACUCUGCAUAUCUCCAAUGUCAACUGGCAGUGUUUGUAUUCAAGGGAUUUUAGCUGGCAUAUGCUGUUUGGAAGAUCCGUAAUCUUAUUGCAACCAUACAAACGCAGAUCAGUUAGUAUGUCCAAGUUUCCUAUUGAUGGAUGGAUCUCCUUCAGACUCGAGCAAUUCCAAAGCCACAAAGUCUCGAAACUUUGUGAACCAUUGAAGUUUGGAGUACUUCUGAGGCGCUGGCAAUCAGAGAGAUUCAGCUUCUUCAAACUUGUACAAUACUAAAAGAAAACAAAUUAUAGUUUCAAUUAAAAUUUUCUUUCACUUAGUUGAAAUAUAACAGUACACAUGAAAUUGCAGAAUUGAGUAACGAACCUUCAAUUUCAAACCAAAUUCUUGGAUAUUACUCUCUUGCAUAUUCAGAACUACAAGUUUUGGACAAUAGCUCAAAAUUUCCACUGAUAUGUAACUCGCCGUCAAUUAUAAGCACCCUAAGAUUUAUCAUUUUCUGAAAUGCUUUGGUGCUCAAGUUCACACCUUUUAAUGCCCAUCGUUCUACCACCAGUACUUCUACAUUUUUGGAACCCUGUAGUUUAAUUAAAAGAAAAGUACCCCAUAAGACCCCAUGUUAAGUACGAGAAAUUAAGAGAGAAAAAUGUGUUAUACAAAUAUAAGGUCAAAGAAUUAACCUGAAUACAUUACGUAUCAAGAAAAAUGAAUUCACAAAUUAGAUGAUUAGAUCCAACUAAUUGCUCAAAAAAGCUACAAACUGCAGUUAAAGAGAAAUAACACCAAAAGAAUAAACAAAGAAAACAAUAGCUUAUAGAAACUUGAUAACGGUACAAAUAAAAGAUAGAACAUACAUAUUAGACUAUAUUUAAAAGAAUAUUUGACAUAUAAAGUUUUUGAACUAAUAAGAUAAAUGUUCCACAAACUAAUUUCCGCAAUCAGAUACAAGCAUAUAGAAAUUUAUAAUUAAACAAAAUGCUCAUUUCAAGUAUAUAGUCGCAGGCAAACAACUAGAGAUAAUUUACUAACCAAAGAAGAAGCACAAAUGAAUUGAAUUCUUGUGGUGACAGUAGAAAUUGUAGGUAAAAGAACGGAAUUAUCCAGUUGGUUAAUAAGCAAAUGUUUAUCAAAUUAAAUUGAAAAUAAAAAGUAUAACCAUGAUAAAGAUAAAGAAUUUACUGACUUUAUUUCCUUGUAGAACAUCACGGACAUCUUGAGGGUCGAACAAUCUACUCCGUUUUCCAGGGUAUCGAGAUUCCAUGCGAACAAUUUCUCUUCCCAUAUCCCGCACUAGAUCAUGCAUCCUCAAACAAAGUUCAUCCCUUUGAAGCAAGUGUCUUUUGACCAAAGUUGCAAUUGCACUUUCAGAAUAAAAACCACAUGCAUAUAAUGUUUUGGUAACUUCAUCAUUAGAAAAUCCAUGGAAGGUGCAUGAGAUAUCAAGGAAAACACUUUGAGUAUCAGAAUCAAGUCCAUCAAAGCUUAUCUUGAGGAUCUUUUGAAUAUCACAAUGAGGAAUUGCUCUUAGUUUUUCGAACUCGCAUCUCCAUUCUUCUACAGAUCUCCCUUGCAAAUGUGACCCCAAUGUCACAAGAGCUAAUGGUAGCCCACCUGAGUAUUUGAUUACAUCUUGUGCCAGCUCAACAUAUCCUUGUGGUGGAGAAAGACUGUUGAAAGCACAACGAGACAAAAGUUGCAGAGACUCAUCUGGAUAUAGUAGUUUGGCCUCAUAUCUCUCAUCUUCUCUAAGCCCACAUAGCAAAUGCUCGUCUCGGGUUGUAAUAAUUAUUACACUACCAGAGCCAAACCAACUUCUUUCUCUUGUUAAGGAUUCUAAUUGGCUACUAUGACCCACGUCAUCAAGAACAAUUAGAACCUUCUUUGACCCUAGUCUUGCUUUGAUUAGAUUGACACCUUCGGCAAUACUGCUAACUUGGACAUCCUUAAUUUUGAGAACUUGCCGGAGUAGUUUUUCUUGUAACUUGACUAGACCAAAUGCUUCAGAUUCUGAUCUAACAUCGGAAAGGAAGCAACUACCACCGAAGUGUUGAAAUAUUAAUUGGUUGUAGAUAGCUUUUGCUAGAGUUGUUUUUCCAAUCCCACCAACGCCACAUAUACCAACCAUGCGAAUGUCAUGCUCACAUCCACUUUGCAGUAAUAACUCUAUAGCUUUGACACGAGAAUCUACUCCAACUGGGUGCCAAGCAACAUCUAGAGGUGUCUGGAUGUUGACCUCUUGAGAAACUUGUUUUAUAAUACUUUCAAUAAAUUUUGAUUCAUUCCUACAUUAUUAUUUUUUUAGCGAAACCAGAAGUUAAAACAAAAAAAUAAGUAAAAACUUCGCAUUUGAUGAACAUUUACAAUAUUAGUUAAUUAUCAUUAGAUUCAAUGUUGCUACCGGCUUUAGGAACAUUUACAAAGAAUGUUGAUUGCCACUAAAAUUACAUAUUUAGCAAUAACUGUCGUUAAUUAAUAGCUGCUAAAGAUCAUUUUUGGUGUAGUGACUUGACAAGGAGAUCAAGGUUGAAGAAAACAAAUGGCCUUCGUUCUCUUCAUACAGGACAUUUUAGAAAAUGGAUUUAAUUCACACAUAUCGAUCUUUUUACCUAUUAGUACAUUCUGACUUGAGAUAGCAUGCUAAUAAUUGCUUCUAUUUUUACCAUAUUAUCAACUAGUACAUUUAUCAAAAACAGUAGUUGUAAUUAUCUAAUAAUAAGCAUAUGAUUGUGUAAAUAUACUUCUACACUCAUUAAAAGUGGACAUUUAUAAUUAUCUUGUAAAUAAGACAAGAUACAUAAUAGUGUAAGAAUUAGUGUAUAUAACUUAGAAGCCGUUUGAAUUAAUAAAUCAUACCCGUCAGCAACAUUUUGCAAAUUCCAUCCAGAUAGAUUUGCGGCUUCAGUCAAUGCAGCUUUCCACUUCUCCACCCUUUGAGCUCCAAACAAUCGUUCCUUAUGUUUUGCCAAAGCUUCACCAAAGGACCCAGUUUGCCUUCGCACUUGAGAAGGAUCAACAUCAUAGAAAAUAGGCAAAACUACCUGAUUUAACCUCUCUCUGCAAUCGAGAAUUUUAACGAGUUCAUCAAGACACCAACUAGACGAAGCAUAAUUUUUGGAGAAAACAACAAUGGCAACCCUAGAUUCUUCAAUUGCUUUCUCAAGUUUGACUGAAAUGACUUCUCCCUUUCUCAAUUCUUCAUCAUCUAUGAAGGUAUUAACUCCGACUUGACACAAUCUGAAAUAAAGAUGACUGGUGAAAUUUUUGCGCGUAUCUUCACCUCUGAAACUCAGGAAUACGUCAUAAUGAUAAUAGAAGUGGGAAGAAGUAGAUGAUUCUCCUUUUACAAAUUGAGUAUCCAUGUAUUGAAACUUCGGUGUGAUGGAAGGAUGAAAUUUAAGUUUUAUUUGUCCAAUAAAUAUAUUGAAAAUUAAAAUAAAUAUCCAUUUUUAGCUAUUCAAUUUGCAACAAUUAAGAUAAACUUUACUACUAUUUAAUUUAUAAUUUAAUCUUGUUACUCGGCUUGUGUCGUUGGACAUCAACAUAGUCGUUAACAUGUCACUAUGUGCCGGCAUUAAUUAUAAUCAUUUUGCAAUAUAUUAGCUAAAAUAUUAAAUUUAUUGUAUUUAAAAUUGUUAUAUCAUAUUUAAAUAAUAUAUUCUGUUGUCUGUUUUGGUCAAGAAUUAAUGGAUCCGUCGUUAAGUUUAAUUAAUACUCCCUUCAUCCACUUUUUAUUGUCAUAGUUUUUCUUUUAGAGUAAAAUUUUUUUUACUAAUAUUUUAUAAUGUAUUUUUUUCAUCAUAUUAAUAUGCAAAAAAUUGUAAUUUAUAAUUUUUUCGUAUAGUUUUUGAAUAUCUAAAUUUUUUAUUUAAAAUAUCGAAUUAAUAUAAUCUAAUUUAACUUUGAAAAUUAAUCAAAUUAACUUUCGAAAAUGACAAUAUGAUAAAAAUGGACGGAGAGAAUACCAAAAGAGUUGGCAAAUUUCCACCAAAACUUCGCAAGUGGAAAUUAUUAUUAUCUUAAAGUUAUGAAUUCACAUCUAUAAUUAUUAGUUAGUUUAUUAUAUUUAAAUAAAAAAGAGGAAAAGUCGGAAGUUGUAAAAUUUUAAAUGACAAGUUGAAUGUUUCAACGUUGAAUUUAUGAUACUUUAAUAAGCAAUAUUCGUUCUGUAAUAAAUUAAUCGCAAAGAAUUGAUUAGGAAUUUGGUUGAAAAUAGAAAUGGUCCAAUUCAAGAUGAAACUAUUAGAAUUGACCUUUGGUGAGGAAGUAAUUAAACUACUCCCUUCGUCUAUUUUUAUUUGUCUAGUAUUAACGCAUGCAAUAAAUAAAACAAAAACAUGAUCGUAUUUAUUCUUGUAUUCUCACAAAAAAGUUAUAUUUGUCAUUUGUUGUACUUUAGAGUCAUAUUUAUCCUUGAGGCAUUAAAUCUCCAUGACCCGCCUUAAUUUAACGCAGAAUAGGACGAACACUCUUCUCCAAAGUCCAAGCUAAGACUGGCAUUGUAGGUUACAAUGUUCUCUGGCAUUGUAGGUUACAAUGUCCUCCAAAGUCCAAGCUAAGACUGCCAUUACUAAAAAUCAAUAAAUUACACAGUUCGAUCACUUACAAUGUUCUCUGGCAUUGUAGGUUAAUCAGAGAGACCCUAUAUUCACUAUACAAUGAAAAAGUUGAUUCAAUUUUUUUAAACUAAGCUUUAGUGCAACUCAACGUACUAGCACUAUACAAUGGAAAAUUUGUUUACAUAAAUUAAACAAAAUUUUCUAUAGAAGCUACUGCCUAUAUCGAACACUCAAUUGUUCAUACCUAAUAAUGGCUUUGUAGCCCUAUAAUAGUACACAUUCUACUACAUCCAUCUUCAUUGACAUCAUUUUCCUCUUCUUGUGUGCUUUAUGCUUUUCUGCAAUCCUCAGCUUCCUCUUGGCAUUUCUCAUUGGAUUGACCACAGCAAUGACCUUCUCUUCUUGUUUCCUCUUAUCCCUCUUCGAUUUGAUAUUCUUCCUUAUAUGACUGUAAAUUUGGACAAAAAUAUGUGUUCCUAUAACAUUGCUUAUGCUCCCCCGCACUCCUUCAGCCAGUUGUUUCACGUCAUCUGUGGAGAUGAUGUAAACAUAAUCAUCAAAUAUAUUAAGGACUACAAAGUUUAAUCACUUGGAAUCCAAAACGAAAAUGAACAACAUUUGUAAAUGGUGGGAGAAUUACAUAUUAAUUGAGUAGUUAAAAGAAAACUAGCUUGAUUCAGGACUUUGCUCUGCUGCGAGUAUAAAAAUGAUCCACAAUUGCUGGCAAAGAUGUAAGAUUGUCAUGUUUGUCUAAAUACAAGAGAUGUAUCCCUAUCUUCUUUACUCUUAACUUUCUCAGCUUCGUCUAAUGGGUGGACUGUUAUCUGCUCCCCGCCUUUGAUCAUCCCGUCAUCUCUUAAGUAAGGUAUGUAAUAUAUCCAUGAUACUUCUUCGUAUUCUUGGGGUACAAUAAUAUUGCAAUGCGUUGACAUACAUACUCUCUCUAUAGGAUACAGUAACGACAAAGUGUCCAUAAGAGCAUAAACCCUUAAUGUGGCAAUUAACAAGCCAGACAACCAUUCCGAAAAACUUAUACUUGUCUUUAUUAUGUACUGUGGGCAUAGUGAAACAGACAGAUGGAGCUGUUACUUUAUAGCUGCACCAACCUGGAAUCUCAUUGCUUUCGAGAUUAAUUUGUAACCCAUGCUUCAUCAGACAAAGACACAAUUAUCUAGAUCAUUAAUUCAUUAAUAAUGUGAUACAAUUGAGAUUGAGAGAAAAGGAGAGAGUAUAACCUGAAGUGUACGUUUUACAAUUAGAGCAUGUGCACUAAAGAAGUCUUUAUUGAAUGGAUUCUGCAGACAAGUACAAUUAAGAAUGUUGAUAUGCAAUAUUGAAGGGAGUUUGUCCAACCCUGUUAUCUCGACCAACUUCUGGCAAUUCUCAAGUUCAAGAGUUUCGAGAUUCUCUAAAUUUGAUAACAAAGGGAGUCUUUGAAGAUACUCACAUAAUUCCUUCAACCAUCGUAACUUGGAAAAAUCAAAGGGCGGACCAUGAAAACUGUUGCCACUCAAAUCUAAAGAUACUCAGUGGCGGCUCUACAGCUUUGAAAAAAAAACAACUGCCUUAGGCACCAAAAUUUGAGGGGCCUCAUUUUUUAAAAAUACAAGAGGUUAUACAUAUUUUUUUUAAAAAAUAUCGCGUAUAAUUUGUAGAAAAUAUAAUUUUUUCAUAAAAGAGCAAGGAAGUAAUAGAAGUUUGACAAAUUAUGAGUACUAUGUCUCAAGAAAGAUUAAAUAAUUGGCUAUAAUAAACUUCAUAAAAAAUAUAUAUUCGAAUUUAAGGCCUCCAUUCGAAUUUUGCUUUAGGCCACCGAUUUAUUAGAGCCGCCCCUGAUUAGAUACUAAGGAGGUUAAACUCCCAAUAUCCACAUGAAAAGCAGCCUUGGAUAAACCAAAAUUUUUAAGGACUAAACACGAAAGAGAAGUCGAUAUGGAUUUUAUGACUAAUUCCUUGAUUAUUGGCCUGUAUAUAUGCAUUUCCAACUUCUAAAGUUUCAAGAUUUCUUAGCAUUUCAGCAGAUGUAGGCAAUUGUUUUAUAUCUGUAUCACUUGUUUUGUCAAUUGGCAGUGUUCGUACAGAAAAGCAUCUAGCAAUGUCUAAGAAUUUAAGGGAUUUUAGCUGGCAUAUUGAUUGAACGAUCUCCUUCAGCCUUGAGAAACCUUGAAGCUUUAAAGUCUCGAGAUUUGUUGCACCGUUGAAGUUUGGAGUUUUUUUGAGGGCCGAGCACCAAGAGAGAUUCAACUCCUUCAACCUUGGGCAACACUAAAUGUCAACCAAAUCCAACAUUCAAGUUAUAUAAGAUUAUUUUGUAUAAUUUCACUAGUCAAUGAAAAAUGUAGAAUUGGGCAACAAAUUAAACCUGGAAAUUCAAACCAAAUUCUUCGAUAGCACUCCCUUCCAUAUUAAGAACUACAAGAUUCGCAGCUGGAAAAUUUGGUGGAAUAUAUUUUAAAUGACAUCUUUGCCAAGAUAACCAUUUGAGCUCCUUGGGAAAAUGCCACAAAUCUCCAUGAAUACGUAAUCCAUUGAUUAUAAGCACCCUGAGUUUCUUCAUUUUCUUAAAUGCAUCGGUGCUCAACUCCACUCCCUCUAAUUCCCCUGGUUCAUCUAACCUCAUUACUUGUACAUUUCCGGAACCCUGUAGUUCAGAGAAAAUGUUUUAAUUAGGACUAAGAAUUGUAACACGACAUACAAUUAAAUUGAAAAGGAAAAAGAAUUUACUCAUGUUUUUUCCUCGUAAAACAGCACAGACUUGUUGAGGUAUGAAUAAUCUACUCCGUUCUCCAAGGCAUUGAGAUUCUGAGCGAACAAUUUCUCUUCCCAUAUCUCGCACUAGAUCAUGCAUACUUACACAACCCCCAAGUACCCCUUGGAGCAACUGUUUUUGGACUAAAGUUGCAAUUUCACAUUCAGUAUGAAAACCACAUGCAUUUAGUAUUUUGGUUUUCUUGAGAGUCUUUUGGAUAUCAUCACGAGGAAUUUCUUUUAGUCUCUUGAAUUUGCGUCUCCAGUUUUCUAUGGAUUCCCAUCGCAAAUGUGAACCCAAUGUCACAAGUGCUAAUGGUAGCCCACUGAAUAUUUGAUUAUGUCUUUCGCCACCCCAACAUAGUCUUGAGGUGGAGAAAGACUGUCAAAAGCAUGACGAUAAAAAAGUUGCUGAGAUUCAUUGUCAUUUAAUAGGUUGGUCAUAUAUCUUUUUGCAUUAAGCCAACUUAGCAAAAGCUCGUCUUGGGUUGUAAUAACUAUUAUACUACCCAAACCAAACCAUUCCUUUUCUUUUGUUAACGAUUCUAAUUGUUUUUUUUUUGUGUCCACAUCAUCAAGAACAAUUAGAACCUUCUUUGACCCCAGUUUUCUUUUGAUUAGAUUGAUUCCUUCAGCAACAGUGCGAACUUUGUACUCCUCGGUUUUGAACAGUAUAUUGAGAAGUUUCUCUUGUACCCUUUCUAGACCCUUUUUUUCUAGCAAUCUAACAUCAGAAAGGAAGCAACUACCAUCGAAGUGUACAUCUCUAAAUAAUCGAUUGUAGAUAUCUUUGGCCAGAGUUGUUUUCCCGAUUCCACCAACUCCAUAUAUACCAACCAUGUGAACUUCAUCUAUGUGUCCAUUUUGCAAUAACGACUUUAUAGGUUUAGUACGAGAAUCAACUCCAAUUGGGUAAGAAGCAACAUGUAGAGGUGUAUGGUUGACCUCUUUCUUCAUAUCUUGUAUAAUCAUUUCAAUAAAUUCAGCUUCAUGCCUACCAAUAUUUUUACCAAAAAACACUCACAUGAUGGGAGGUGUUACGCUUUAAAAUAGUUGCCUAUCUAUGGAUGGCAAUGGGGGCGGUGCGGGACGGGACGCGUUGAGCUUAAUGUAUAAAAAAUUUAAUUCGCUCUGCAUAACAAUUUUUUUCAUUUUCAACCUGCCCACAUGAAACUCCCCACAUAGUUUUUUUAAAUAUUUUUCUUUUCUAGUUAAGUUUGAUACUCAAAAUGAAAUUCAUAAAAAUAAAUUCUUUUUUUCAUUAAGUUGUAUUAAUUUAAUAGAAAAUGACCUAAAUUUUAUUUUUUAGAAGUCAAUUGGGAAACAUGUAAGAAAUUGUAUUAAUUUUUAUUGAAUCAUUUUCUUUUACCAUCUUGAAUAUUUUAGUAGCUUUAGAGAAAUUAUCUUAAUAAAUAAUGUUCUAUCACUCUUAUAACAUGUAAAAAGUUAAAAUUAAAUUGAAUCCACAUAAUGCCACAUAUUCCCGCAACCCAUCCCGUCCCACAUAGCCUUAAAUCCACUCCAACCCGCAUCCGCCCCGUCUCAUUGUUAUCUAUGGCUAUCAAACGACCCAAAAUUGUUAACCGAAACAAAAAGGAAGUUUCCUAAGAGGUACUUUCUCUUUUGGGUAAUAACCAUAGUUAAUAGUAUAAUUAAAAACAUUACAUUUCAUCCUUGUAGGAAAUUACUUAUGGGGUUCUUGAUAGGCAAUCUUACUGUGGAGGAAAGUUGAUAGAAAUUAAAUGGAAACAUUCAAAUUCUUUUUCUUUUUAAUUGAAUGGUUUCACAUUCUAAAUUUCUCUACCCACCAAAGGUCAAUUCUAAUAGUGGUUGCAUCUUGAAUUGGACCCUUUUUAUUUUUAAACAAAUUUCUUAGUACACAAAACAAAUAUAUUGCUUACGUAAAGCAAGGUAUCAUAAAUUCACGUUGAAACAUUGUAGUUGCCCUUUAAAAUUUUACAACUUAUGAUUUUCAUCUUUUUUAAAAAAAAAAAAAUGCAAGAAAUAUGUCAUGAUGUUCCACUAUGCCUUUAUAAAUCUCCAUUUAUCUUUGUUUUGUUUGUUUAAUCGAAAUUUAAUCUUCUUACUGUUACGAUUACCAGAUUUUACACACUACUUGCCUAUUCUUUCUUCUUCUAACCUUUUCUUUUCCUUUUUGAAUAUUUUCUUUUAAUAUUAGUAUUUCUUUUGAAUGGUCUAACCAGUAGUUGAACUUAGAAGCUUUCUUUGGUUAUGAAACCAAAUUAAUAUUAUUUACCUUAUAUAGAGGUAUUGCCACUAUAAGUAAUACAAGGAUUAACUAUUUUACGCAAAAUUUUAGUAAAUGUGCUUUUACAUAAAUUUCCAUUCAGUGUGACAUACACGAAGUAAAACCACAUGUUUCUUCUUUUUGCAUUCCAAAAAAAAGGAAGAAGAUUCUUCUCCAUUACUAAAAAUCAAUAAAUUACACAGUUCAAUCACUUACAAUGUUCCCUGGCAUUGUAUGUUAAUCAAAGAGACGCUAUAUUCACUAUACAAUGAAAAAGUUGAUUCAAAAUUUUAAACUAAGCUUAGUGCAACUCAACAUACUACCACUAUACAAUGGAAAAUUUGGUUACAUAAAUUAAACAAAAUUUUCUAUAGAAGCUACUGCCAUCGAAGAUCGAUGCUCAAUUGUUCAUACCUAAUAAUGGCUUUGUAGCCCUAUAAUAGUACGCAUUCUACUACAUCCAUCUUCCCAUCUUCAUUGACAUCAUUUUCCGUUCUUGUGUGCUUUAUGCUUUUCUGCAAUCCUCAGCUUCCUCUUGGCGUUUCUCAUUGGAUUGACCACAGCAAUGACCUUCUCUUCUUGUUUCCUCUUAUCCCUCUUCGAUUUGAUAUUCUUCCUUAUAUGACUGUAGAUUUGGACAAAAAUAUGUGUUCCUAUAACAUUGCUUAUGCUCCCCCGCACUCCUUCAGCCAGUUGUUUCACGUCGUCUGUGGAGAUGAUGCAAACAUAAUCAUCAAAUAUAAUAAGGACUACAAAGUUUAAUCACUCGGAAGCCAUAAAGGAAGUGAAGAAUAUUUGUAAAUGCAGCUAGCACUUGGCAUAUAAGAUAGUAUGGACAGACACUUGAAACAAUAAGUUAGCAAGAGAUUAAAUGAGAGACCAUACCUGAUAUAACUUUUCCGGCAAAUCCUUCACAAACUUUGUACAGGGGCAACAGCAUAUGAUAUGCAAAGCUUUGGCAAUCAACCUCACCUUCAGGGGACAACAAUCUACUCUGAUCUAUAAGCUUUGGUGAAACUGAUUUGAAACAAUUGAAGAUAAUUCUCAUCUGCAAAAAAUUGUGCACAUUCCACAGCAUGAGAACAGGCACUCCUAGCACCAUAUAUGGGAGAGUAAGGCACAAAAUAUUUUUUUUGGAAAACAACGAGAAGGUAAAUUACAUAGCAAUGACUAGGCUAAGAAAUUUUUUGCGAGUCGAGCAAACAGAGAUAUCCUUAAUUAAUCACCCACCUGCAUAUCCUCCACAUGAAGGGAAAUCUUUCCCAUUGUCUUAAGCAAAUAAGAAAUGACCAAGUAGCGCUGGCCUUCAUCUUCUUGAUCGCUAAGGUCAGACACAAGAGACAGAUAGAUGUUUUUCCCUUUCCUUGAAUCAAGCUGUUGAAAAGCCUUAAGUAGAAGACCCUGCUCGUCAUGUUCAAUGGUGGACCAGAACUCAUCUUUACAUUCAUUUUUUCCUAAGAAUGAAUGCAGAGAGCAAAUUGAAAAGACAAGAUUUUGAGUAAUGAGAUCACUGGCAGCAUCAUCAGUCUGCAGCACCUUCAGCUGACAACAAAGAGAAGUAGCUACGAAGAAAAGUCUACUUGGCCUCAUCAAAAAGUAAGUUUCUUGUGGCAGUUCAAGGUUUUCUUUCCAAGCCUCAGUCACAGUGGCAAAGUAGCAAGCCACAAGACGGUUUGAUAUGUUGCGCAACCACAGAUGCGGAUGCAAAAGCAACUCACAGAUUGCUUCCCACAGAUCCUAUGAGAUGUCAAUAAAAAUAAUAGUCAGAAAACAAAUAUGAAUUUAUCCAAAGAACAGGACAAGUUAUUGGCAAUCUGGAAAUGGGAGUGUGGUAGCUGUGGAGCGUACUUUCCCCAGUACAACAAUAACAUACCUAGUGAAAUCCCACUAAGUGGGGUCAGGGGAGGGUAGAGUGUACGCAGUCCUUACCACUACCUCGUGGAGGUAGAGAGGCCGUUUCCGAAAAACCCUCGGCUCAAGUGCAUCAAACCAAAGUAAAAGUAUCCUCUUCAAACUUUAAGCCCAGUAUACUAUUCAAACUCUAAGCACUUGAUUUUCAAAUACUUCUUAACUUUACACCUAGUCUGUAGUUGCAAACUAUCUUUUGGCAUGCUGCCUAAGUUUGAGGACCAAAGCAAUUUCACCGAAUUGGUUUUAACCACACCAAAAAGUAAUUUAUUUCUUAAAUCUAUCACAAAGCAAAAUGAGGUCCAGUGGUUUNNNNNNNNNNNNNNNNNNNNNNNNNNNNNNNNNNNNNNNNNNNNNNNNNNNNNNNNNNNNNNNNNNNNNNNNNNNNNNNNNNNNNNNNNNNNNNNNNNNNUAUCAUAAUCAAGAUCUCCCAACUCUACAGUAGACGUCGCAUUCAAUUCACGAAGAAGAUUUGCCUGUAUGAAAUUAAGAGGUGUUACACGUCAACAAACACCUAAAGCAUCAAGUUCAAAAGAAAACUAGAUGGUCUAGUAAUACCGUAGGAUGUACAGAAGAAUCAUUCCCUGCGACAGCAUCAAGAACAUCACAAAUAGAAGUACGGACAUCCAAGCCAGCAGAAAUUACGAGUGGAGAAACAGAUUUGACGGUCUUUUUACUGCUUUCACUACCCAAUGGUUCUACAAUAUCCUUAAUAAUCUGUAAAGUGCCUACACAAAUCUCUGCAACCAGAAAGAAAGGUAAUCUUAGAAAAAGAGCAAGGACAUGAGACCAAACAGGUCCACCUAAACUGUAAGACAAAACUGAGACUCUGACCAGGGUCUUUGGAUCUCUUUGACAGAAGCGGAAGCAAGAUGUCAAGAAACUUCCUUGCAGCCAAUGGUCCCUUUAUGUGCUUCGAUAAAAGCUUGAAGACAUUGAGCUCUUUUUCCCCAGGAUAUUUGACAAUCUUCCUGGAAAAGUGAAUACAUCAGUUAAGAGGAGAACUGAUGCUAGUGCAUCUCAUAUAACACUUAAUUACAUAAAGAGCAUGCUAAGUCCACUUAGCCAUAUAGGGUGGAUGACACGUACACUCUCUCUUGUAGUUGUGGGGUGGGAGAACUAUGGAAGAAAAAGCUAGAAAACUACAAAGAAAAAGAUUUAGUUGGACAGGAACAUACUUUGUGUUCUUUUCUUUCCUCCUUUUUUUUGGGAAGCAUACAUGUGUUUUUCUUUCCUUUUUUUUGUGUGUGCGCGGGGGGAUCUGUCCCUACCUACCUCCAUCCACUCUCUUUCUCUCCCGCUCAUAUAUAAGUCAGAUUAAAUUUAUCGUUGGAAACGAUUCACUAAUCCCCAUCAAUUUAAGAAAAAAUGAAUUAGAAUAAAAGAACAAGCCAAUACAAACUCAAGUUGGUAGCUCCAAAUAGCAGCGAAGAAAAUCGAUAGUGAAAAGGAACAGGACGCUGAUGAAGCAUUAAGAAUCAAUGUACGAGGUGCCAGUAAGAUAAGUUCAUACUGAGUACUUCUUCAAAAUAGAAUUUUCCUUCACUGACCUAGAUAGUUGUUUAAGAGUGCCACUACAUUCUUUAAGAUGAUAUUUGAGUCCUAUGUGAAUACUCAUAGUUAGCACUUACAAGUGCAAGUAAAACUGUGGUCAGACAAAACUUGAGCAUUAUGUACAUUAUUAUCCAACCACAUUUGAUGUGAAGAUAACACAUUUUGAUAGGCUCUCUAAUUGUUAAAAUGUCAUAAGACAUCAUAUCCUGAGGUGACUGUUAAAAUUUGUAAUAUCAGCUAAGGAACAAUUUCGAGGCUGGUAAGUCGCAAGCCAAACGAAUAUAUGAUUUACAUGGAUUAGUUAUUUAAAGAUUUGUGCAAUAAGCUAUAACCAGCAAAGAAAUGUUUUCAGCAUAUGGGUCAAUUUUGAGCAUGAUAUUGAAGUCCUAUAAAUUGACACAAUCUUCAAAGAGGGAAAAAAAAUUAAAGCAACAACGUAAAUUUCACAUUGUCAUACCUCUUAUGUGCACCGUCAUGUACAAAAAGAUGAUGCAAACUGCAUACUAGUACAUCAACGUGAGGAAGCAGUAAUCUCUUAAGUGGGUUGUCUUCAUUACCUAGCUCAAUAUCAAGAUAUAACAGAUUCUCCACAAACUUAAGAACUGAGGAAACGAUGGCAUCUGAUGCUGUUGAGACUGCUAGCAUCGAAAAUACAUCAGGUACAAGGUUCUUUUCUCGGGACAACAGAGGCACAAGUUUGGAACUUCUACUCAUAGCCAGAAAACAAGAAAAUAACGAGCUUGCUUUCUCACUACUAGCACCUUCCUGUUUGAAACUGGCAACUAAGGGUUUUACUGACAUAAAGAACAAAUCCCAAAAUUCAGGACUGAAAUCAUGAUCUUCAAAUUUGCUAAGGAUAAAAGAGAUGAUCUUCAGGCAUAAAGAUCUCAAAUCCUUGCACUGCUUUGCAGCCAUGUUCGUCUGCACAAAAACCAAGACAUUGGUUAAUAAGAUUUUUCUAUACAGUAUUUUCAAAUACUGGUUAAUAAGUAUUUCUUCAUUCAAUUCACAACUUCACCACAAACACAGAGCCGCCUUUUUUCUAAUAAGGAAUAAUUUGAUUAUCAAUUGAGGGAAACCCUGUAUGCAAACCAUAUAUCAAAAGUUCAGAACCUACACCAAAACAUGGUUCUCAACAAAAAUGAUCCAAUCCUCCAUACAAAUAGGGACCUCACAAAUACACCAAAAAGAAACUAGAGAUAAAACACUAAUUUGCAUUUUCACAAAAUCUAGUUCCACCCAUUCAAAUGCAAUCUUACUGCUCUCUUUCCAAAUGAUCUACAUGAUUGCUAAAGGGGCAACACCCCAUGUCCUUGGGCUUCUCUUCCCCCCUUCUAUGGGUCCAACUUUGCACAACUUCCUUCACAGUACCCAGCAUCACCCAUUGCAUACCAAACAAAUUAAGGGCCCUUAAAGGUGUCCCUUAAUUUGUUUAGCUUCCUCCCACCCCUUCAUGAUACUCCUCUACAAACCACACCGAAACACAAAGUUUCCUUUAGUUUUCUCAGAGAUUAUAUAGAGGAAAACUACGUUAGCAGCAGUUAAAAGUUCUUGAUUCCUCUCGAGAUCAAACAUAAAUACCCAUGAAAAGAAAAUGGCAUACUAUACAGAGUGUUCCUGUCGCCUAUUAAAACCAAAAUGAAGUUUACUCUAACUGGAAAAAUGGGAAAAUUCGUACCUCCCAUCCCUUCCCCAUUUUAAGCCAUAAAUUUUAUGAAUAGUUGACCAAACCACCCUCAAAAAAGCUACCUCUUUUAGGUUAUUGCUCAAGGGUGAUCUGAAAGGAAUACUAAUACUGUCAACCUCCAAAAACCAAAUCAAGGGAUAUACAAAAUCAUUUACUAUUAAUAUUAAGUGUCAACCACCUAAUACAAUAUUUUGGGCAACAACAUCAGUCUUUUUUUUCUAAAAGUAAACCUGCUAGGCUGUAGUACAGCAGAUGAUGACAUUACCACGAUUUUAUCCUCUACUUGGUGAGCAUGAUCUGCCAGCGUCCCAUCAUUUCGUGUCCCUUCAAGAGUUGAUGUACAGCUGUCCAAGAGACGCACAAUGCAUCCCAUUAACAGGUCAAGAAAAGGGCUAAUGUGCACUUCAUCAAAAACAGCUACAAUAUCCUCAAUUACAUGUAGAAAACCAUAUCUCUUCUUCCAUGAAAUGACAUUGAUACAAUCUCUGGAAAAAUGCUCCAAGACACUAAAUGAGUCAAGCCCAUGCUGAAGAACUCCAGGUGUAGUCCAGGGCCAUGCACUCUUUGCUGCAGCACCUUGUGAAGCCGAUACAAGGGGUUUUAUUAGCAAAGCAAAGAAAAGAGGAAGCUCUUCAACAUCUAGCUGAGAUAAGAAGCCAAGAAUCGCCUUUCG